rnacentral:lncRNA from 1 species
UUUUUUUUUUUUUUGUUUUAGCUUAGCCUUGGGUUAGAGAUAGAAUUUAUGACUUUUGGGGGCUAUAUCCACCCCUUAGCCCAGGGUUGGAGAUGGUCUUACUUUUUAACUACAAGACCUCCCCAUAACAAAGCUUAGCCAUGAAGGCAUGAAUGAUACAAACCUAUUGAAUGCACUCGACUAUAAAAAAUGAUGCUCUUAGAGCAUCUCCAAUAGCUUUCUCAUUUUCUUGAAUUUCUCAAUUUUAGGAAAUAUAAAGCUGUUUUUAGGUCCAACAGUUUUCUCAUCUCAUUCCCCAAAAUGGAGAUGGAGAAGAAAGAGAAGCCUUCAUUCCCUAAAUUUACAGCAAAGCCUUCCUUCCUCAAAAUUUAAUUCUUCACGUGCUCCAACGAAUUCAAAACAACAAUAGAAUAUUUGGUUGGGUAUUUUAUUGUUACAAUGAAAUAUAUAAUGGUCUUUUGUUAUAAUUAAUAAUGAUAUAGUAUAUUUUAUUGUUGUAUUAAAUGUCGAAAUAUCCAAAAUGGAGAAGCUGUUGGAUUUUGAGCAUAAUUUUUUUAGAGAUUUUAGCUUUUGCUUCCCCAUUUUAGAAAAUUUUUUAGGAAACUGUUGGAGAUGCUCUUAUAGAAAGGAAACAAAGAGUAAAAGUUGAUACCUGAAUCAACAACGGUGGACUUCACAGUUGCUUUUGUUUUACAUAUGUGUUGAAUGGGAGCGGAUUCUACGCACCAACGUGUAUUUGCACCAUUAAUGUAUAAGUGCUUAAAUCGUCGUAUGAGAAGAUCAAAUGAAGACUAUAGACUCUAAAUUCCUUACUUUCAUUUUCAUUUUUGAUCCGAUCAAAUUAAACGCCCAUAAUAAGAGUACGUCUUGUUCGAUCUAAUGUUCUCACUUCCUUAGUUGGAAACAGUUUGGACUAUUUUUUUUUGUUUCAAUUUGGUUAAUAGUAUUAGUAUAUAUGCAAAUAGUGCGACGUAGAUGACUGAGUCAAAAUACUGUAUAUUACUUGCUUGGUUCACUUGCACCUUGGUGCAUGGAAGAAUUUUCGGUGUUGAAUAUACCAGCUUGUUACUUUGUGUUGAUACUGAGCGAGAUUAUAACGUGGAGAAAUGUGAAAGAAGGGGUCUGAUAAGUUUCCCGAUAAAUACAUGGAAAUAUCAAAGGUUGGGCAAUUGGUGACUGGUGAGGCUACUAGGAAAUUGAAGGGAAAUUUUACGAAUGAAUUUAAUUUAUUUCGAAGUUACACACAGCAUUUGUAUUCAUAGUUGACGCCCGGCCUGCUUGAGUUACAUUGUUUGACCAAAUUAUACUAGUUUGUCGGGUUGAUACUUCAUAGCCUAAUGACGUAGAUGAAUAAUCGAUAAUGAAAAUGUAUCGAAAUAGCAAAGCUUAGCUCAAAACAUAUACAUAUAUACUAUUACAUCCGGUUUUGUAUUGGUACAUUGAUAUACGACUAUCAAAGACACCUACACGAAUUCAUAUGAAGGUAUGAAACUUUAUUUCAAAACAUAACAUUAAAUUAACAUUUAAAAGGUACAAAUGAUAAAAAAAAAAUCUUUAAUUGUUUCACAUGUCAUUUCUAAAAGUAAGGCAUAUAACACUAAAGUAACAUUUAAAAGUACAAAUGAUAAAAAAAUCUUCAAUUGUUCCAUGUGAUAAAAAUGUCACUUUUAAAGUAUCUUACAUGAUAAGAUGACCACCUCAGAAAAUAUCAAACGAUAAAGUGAUCACUCUAGAUGAUAAAACGGUUCAUUUAGCCAAUUUUCACAUAACCAGUCUACCUUGCCGUCAAUAAUACUUUUUUUUCUCUUUCACUUUCAAAAACGCAUCACCUCUCUCCUUAUUCACAGACGAUCUAUAUAUACACUAUAAGAAGCAGUAGAGUAUGAUUGCAUGUCAUGUUGACAGCUUAAUUUAGAGCAACUUGUGAAGAAAUGGCACAAUCUGGAAAUGAAUUAUAGCUAAAACUGAGUUAGGAAGAACCGAGACAUGCCACGGAAACUUGUUGAUUAAAAAAACAUUGAGUGUUGGAAUAUGCACAUUCCUGAGGAUGAUCUGCACAUGAAGCUUGGUAUUACCCUGUCGACAUGCAUAUGAAUAAAACUUGCAGUUUACGUGCAUCUUAGUCAAUAUCUUAUCAUUUACUCUUAAAAUAAGAUUCGGCUACAUGUAUAAUGUAGAUGAAGAGGUUUGUUCAAACAUAGUAAACACGCUACUCAUGAAAACAGACAAAGUAAAAGGUAGGAAACAUCUAAGAGAUAGCAUAACAGAAGUACAAUUUAUUUAGCUGAAUGCACACCAUCCAGACAGGAAACAGAAUCUUGGCAUGGAAAACUUGUGGUGGGCGGUGGCAUCUUGUUCUCAGGUGGUUUAGAAAUGAUUGUAGACUCUGAAAGAAUCUUGGAGGGGCAAGUUCUAGGCCAGUGGUCACAUACCUUGCCACAUAAAUAACAAAACAUGGGAACAGGUUGCUUGCUGCCUCCUUCACUCAUCUCACCAUUGGCACCCAUACUGUAGAAAUAAGAACCCAUAACCCACCCUGGUUUCAAACCAUCGGGGCCUGGUCGGCGUGCCUUCUCACCUGUUAAAUACAUUAUUAUUAUUAUGUAACUUGAAUAAAUCGGUGCUAGUGACAAAACCUAAAUCAAAGAAUUGAUUGAGCAUGAUUUGGAAUUCUUUCUGUUAUCGUAUACAUAUAGAUGAAUGCAUGCACAAAGCAAACUACAAAACCCCUAAAACAGUAAUCAAUUUUUCCAGGAGAUCGUGGGUAAACAUAUAUCUUAAGCCUCGUCAAUGUUCUAAUCAAGAAAAAUAUAAAUCGAGUUAAGAUCAUACCGUCUUCUUCUGCCCAUUUGCGACUGAGCUCGUCAAAAAGUUCGCAAGUAAACCUUCCCCUACUGUCCUGAGUUUCCUCCAUGCCUGCCAUGGCGGAGAGAGAUUGUAUUCGUUAAGAGAUCAGGAUUGAUUGAUUUUAGACUUAUAUUAUACGCUGAGGUUCUCAUAUUUAUACUCCUCUAGGUUUUGUAAAAAUUAAUUUCCGAUUUUAGCCCUUCUACAGAUUUUAUAAAAAAAAACCUAGUCCCCCACGAACAAGUUAUAUCAAGACCACCGAUUCUAAGUGUAUUAUUUCAAUCUUCUAUGUUCGUUCGUUCUAUAUGGGCCAUAGAGAUAAGUGUCAUAUAUAGGGCGUCAAUGAAUAGGGUAUGGGUUUUAUUUCGAAGAUCGCAAUGAGCCGGCUCACGGUUUGGGCCGGUUUGUCAUCUAAGUAUUUUGAAUUGUGGAUCCAUAUGAUUGCAAGCUUGAUGGUUUUCCCAGAAUUUGCAAACUUCACAUUUUGUUAGAUUAUCAGUUUGGAGUUGGGUAGGCAAAUUUGUAACUUACAGUUUCCAUAUAAAUUAUUGACAUUAAACUGGCACUGCAUAUUUCCACCCAACAUGACACAAUGCAAGUCGAUCACUUCUUGUUUAUGCAGUAAAUUCACAUAACAAAUUCUAUAUAACAGUAUGAUUCAUGGCUCAAUAUCAAAUGGAAAGAAAAGAAGGGGGCUAAAACAAAAGACGAAGGAGAAGCACCCUACUUAAGUAAUCAAAAUCUAAGGUGCCACCUUUUUAUCUAGAUGACGGAUUUAGCUCCAAACAAGUUCGUAUGAUGGAAAUACAAAACUUUUGGCACGCUCGACGCAAGUGAUUAUUUCAUACAACUACUUAUGCAUUGAAUCUAACAGUUUGAGAGCCAAAGCUUGCUGAUGCUCUAUAUAACUUGAGUCAGCAACAAACCCAGCUUUAUCCUUCUUCUCUUCUCUCUCACCAUCAUCAUCACUAUCAAAGUAUAUCUUUGACCUUUUGUGCGAUCGCUUAUCAGAUGGCUCUUCUUCUGACUCAGAUUCAUCGUCGUCCUCUUCUUCUGCAUUUGCUCUCUUCAGCUUCAUCUUCUCCUUCAUUCUUUUUUCACGACGACGCUGGCGGUCUUUUUCCUUGUCUUGCUUGUCUGUCUUCUUCACCUCUUCCCUAAGCCUCUUAUGAAAUUCUUCUUUCUUGUCUGCAGCAAAAAUAAUGUAUAUAUCAGGACACUAAUCCAAGCAGCUGCAAACACAUUCCAGUUCAUGCACAACAUGUGGGAUCAAGUCAUCAUAUUCAAGCGAUUAAAACUUGUUCUAUAUUUAUUCUACCUGAGCCAAUGAUAGAGGGAAGCCUCACAGUUAUAUAGAAGCUCAGACACUCAAUUGUAGUGGAGUCAACCAAUUAUUUCAGCUCACAUUCGGAUUUCAUUUUUUUCAAAAUUCAGGAAUCGAUACAUACCUUGAAGUCCAUCAAGAAUGCUGGGAUCACUGGGAGCAGCCAACCUUGCAAGUGGGUCCACCAAAUUGCCGUUCUCAUCAAAGACCCCCCUAGUUCCCGUAGGUUUAUCCAAGUUGAUCUUCAACUUCUUUUUCUUCGAAACCCGAGUUGCCGGCCUACAGGGAAAAAUGAGCACAGAAUAAAAGAGUGAAUUAAACGAGUGACCGAAGCAUUCAUUGAUAAUGCAUCCAUAACUACAACUUCUGGAUAUGCACAAAAAAAAAUAUAAUAAAUAAAUAAAUAAAACUUCUGGAUGAAACUAUUUGCGUGGGUAAUAAUCAGCAUUUGCGUCUGUUACUAAACUUGUCCUAACUACAUCUGGAUGAAAAUAUUUGCGCUGGUAAGAAUCAGUAAUUGCAUCUAUUACCAAAAGUCUAAACUUGUCCAACCUAUAUGUGAAUAUGUGGUUCUUGAUGACUAAAAUUAAUAAAUAAAAAAAGAAAUAAGAGAAGUACAUUAGACAAGCAACUUACAUAAUAUCUGCAAUCUGUCUUCUUUCCCCCUCUCUCUCAGUUGGUAUAUCAUUUAUUCGAAGAAGACCUUCCUCCACUUCCUCUUCGUCCCCAUCACCAAUAUCAAGCUCCUCUCUAGGAGUCUCUAAUGCAUUCUCCAUCUCAGAACUUUCUGGUUCAACAAUGGGAGACAGUUCCAAAGGUUUCUUGGAUUUCAUUUUAUGGUUUGAAAAACGGAUCUUGGGGGUCAUUGGUAAACCCAUUGAUGCGGAAAACUCAUCAACUGGCAGUUGCAUCACGUCAAAAACUUCUUUGUCCUUGUGGUUUUGAAUAGACUUUAAAUACGUGAUAAAAGCCCUUUUGGCCAGACCUGGAAGUGUGUCAGGGUACUUGACUAGCAAAGCUGACAGCAACCCACUUACAGGUUGCAGUCUCUUGUUGUUAGCCUGGGAGAGCAGCAUAACAGCAAUUUUAGCAUGGUGAAAUAUAUAAUAAACAAAGUUCUUGCAAACCACUUCCUCUGCCAGAAGAAGAAGAAAAUAAAGUUUACCUUGAUGCAAUCUAUGGGUAUUUUUGCGGCAUCUAACUUCUCAAGCAUUUUUGUUUCUGAGGGCAUCACAAAUAAAAGUGAUCGCCCUUCGGAUUGAUAGCGUGCAGUUCGGCCAACUCUGUGUAUAUAGGAUGCAACAUCUUCUGGACAAUCCACCUGCAAAUGGGGAGAUGAAAAUAUAAAGAACUGAUUAUAAAACAAAAACAAGGAACCAAGUUUUUUCAUCACAUUCUACACCAUUGUAACAAAAAUCUUGGAGCAAACAACUCACCUGAACAACCCAAUCAACUGCCUGGUUGAAAUCAAGGCCUCUCGAAGCUACAUCAGUCGAGAAAAGAACUGUAGCUUUUUCAUGAAACUGCGAGUAUGUGCCCAUUCUUCCCUCUUGCUUCAUCUUACCAUGAAGACACUUCAGGGGUAUUCCAGGUCGGAGCUUCUUAAAUGCUUCAUAGACAAAUUUUACCUAUUAAAGUAGCAAUUUAACCUAAUCAGCAAAGAUAAAAUUUAUAUCAUAUAAAAGAAGACUUAUUUAUAUCAACAACCAGAGGAAUGAUAAAUGAUAUAAAUGAAGGUUAAAUCUAAAGUCCACUGGAACUAGACUGCUGUUCCACAUAAAGGAAAAGGGUAAGCCUCUAAAAACAAGAUCAACUCUUGCAUAUGAUAAGAUGACAUUUUCUGGCAUGACAUAAUUGUGUGUCAGUAGAAUUAGAAACACAACGGCACCUGUUUACGUGUCGAUAAGAACACUAGAAUCCUAGAAUUCAGAUGUGCCUUUAUGAAGCUCCACAGCAUAUCUAAUUUUUUAUCAAGAGGAACAAUCAUUGCAGUUUGCUUCAAACGAUUUGGAGUGGCUCUUGUAGCCUUCUCGUGCACACUAAGGUAUUCUGGGUCCUUCAAACUAAGUCUUGCGAGAUCUUGAACUGACUUUGUUUGAGUUGCAGAGAAGAGAAAGGUUUGUCUUCUCUUAGGUAGCUGUGAAAUGAUGGCGUUCAAUGCCUUCUUAAAUCCCACGUCAAGAAUACGAUCUGCCUCAUCAAGAACCAAAACCUGUUCCCUGACCAGGAAAGUCCACCCAAGUCAGCAGAAAAUAUAUAUGUAUACAGGACUGACUAUGGGUAUAUAAGUAAAAUGAACUAUGGACCACAAAAAGUAAUAGAAUCUGAUGCAAUCAGAAGACUAAUAGAAUCAGAACUAAAUCUGAUAACUACGUCAUCAAACUGAUGCAAAAGAAGCAGCAACAGUAGAUUUGAAAUCAUAUUUCCAACUAUAUUAAGACAACACUAAUGUUUAAACAGAUAUCGGCAACUUUUUUCAUCUACUGCUGCCACAUAAAUACCAUUCCCCCCACCACCACCCCUUCUCAAAAGCAAACAAGAAAGAAAAAGUAGACCUGUAGCUGUGAACACUCAAAAUUUGGCGUCUCGUCCAUGUGUUGUAGAAGUCGUCCAGGAGUGCAAACCAGUAUGUUCAAUUCAUUUACGCGCUCCUUCUCCGCUUCAACAUCUUUCCGACCACCAAUUAGGAGGCCAGCACUAAAAUUAUGGUGCUUUCCAACUGCUCUUAACACAUCAAACGUCUGACUAGCUAGUUCUCUUGUCGGAGAUAUAAUAAUGCUGCCUACCCCAUCCUCAGGAUUCCAUCUCUCUUUAUACAAUUUUUCCAAGAGCUGAAAUCAACAAUGUACAAGAGGUGAAUAAAAAUGUCUUUUCUAAAUCUAUCCAAAUCAACACCAAAUGAAAGUAAAGCAUAUAGUUGAAAGAAAAUGCACAGACCGAUAUGCAAUAUAUCAAAUAUCAAUACUUUAGAAAUCUUAAGCCAGAACUUGGCACAAAGCAAAUGUUCCAAAACUCAAUUAACUGAACCAAAUACUAGCCAUUGACACUAUUCUUCACCUCUCACAAAACGAAGCAUCACACAACUCAUAGCAACUAUCCAAAAUCUAAGCAAAUAAUUUGACUCUGAGCAACAAUCACACAACUCAAUCAACUAGAACAAACACAAGCUCUACCUAAGACCCUCCAAACUUAACAGUAACUCAUCCACUUCCUCACAUUUCUCAUCAACCAAUGCCACCCAAAUCCAUCAUCUCUCACAAAAACCAAUCAUAAAUAUAAAAACCCAAUCUUUCACAGCUCAAAUUCUAAACCAAAAGCAAACUCAAAAUUCCAACAACCACCCAGAUACAAACUCCAUCUCAUAAACCAAACCCACAUACCGGAAUCACAAAAGCCAGAGUCUUGCCGGAGCCGGUCUUGGCGGCGCCCAGAAUGUCCCUUCCGCAGAGCGCGUGUGGCAAACACGCGCGCUGGAUAUCGGUCAUGUCGGUGUACCUGGACUGCCGCAAGGCGUCCUUGGUCUUCUUGGAGACGGGGAGCUCGGCGAACCUGGUGGCGCCGGCGUAGCGGGAGAAGGACGUGGGGUCCACGCACCCGAUGGGGGCGUUGGAGGGGAGAGGCGGGAGGGACAUUGGGUUGGAGCCGCAGUCGGGUUUCUGGGAUUCGAUCCAUGAAUUGAGGAGCUUGAUUUCUUCGACCUCUGAUAGCAGCUUUUGCUUCCGCGUUGUUUUCGAUAUGGGUUUUCUCAUUGCUGCUCUCUCUGCGACGACGACGUUAGGUUUUUGGGGUUUUAAACUGAUGAGGGUUUAAGCCUUUACGGCUUUACGUGAAAAUGUAAAAGUUAACUUAAACAAAACAAAAAGGGUAAAUUUUCUCUUGUUUUUACUUUUUAUUUUUUUAUCAGUUAAAUAACCCCGGAUACUAAAACGAGAGUCUGGUGUGAGUAAUCAUAUUGCACUCAUUCGUCUAUUUUAUUAUGAUCAUGGCUUCAUCUAUAAUCAUUCUCAAAAAAUACUACCAAGUCGUAACGCAUACCAUAUUUUAACCAGUAACUAGUUAGUCUCAUUUAUGAUUAUUUUUUAAAAAAUAUGUGUGAAUGACAAAAUAGAGUGUGUAAAUUACAUCACAUUUUUUUAUUAUUCUCAACCUCGUCAGAUGAAUCAUUGCACUCAUUCAUCUAUUUGUUAUGAUCAUUUUUCUUUAACUCAUGGUAAUUGUAUAAAAAACUUACGAUUUGCAAGUUAACUAAUUUAGCCAUCGAUCAAUUCUCAUUGAUUUUACAAUUCUAUUCAUUGAUUUGCAAGCAACUUGCGAUUUGAGACUCCAAUAAUGUAGUUGUCUAUGUAGAAAUAUUGUCGUUCUCAUUUAACACAAAUAACAUAAAAAGGGGAACGGUGAGGCCAUGAGGGAGCCUUUACCUUCCCGCUUAUCAUCAACAAGGACCAAACUUUACACCAAAAAUACUACGUAAGAGGGAUAGGAUAACACAAAAUGGCAGAAAAUGAGAAAGUUGCUCGGUAUCAUAACAAUGAUUAAACACAUUCAACUAGCAAAUUCAGCUUAGGAAGUUCUGGACAUGUACAUUUCCCUCCGUUUUGUCACACUUUUCUGCUGUAAAAUGGUUGCCGGACCCAGACAAUGGUCUCGAGUUCCUUUCCAGCAAGUUUGACAUUGUUCUCCAAAAACAGCUGCGAAAAUUCAGGUUCUAUCUUUUCAGGCCAAUAAAUCCUCUCCCGCCUCCUGAGCAACCUCCUGCUAAGUUGUGCAACUGUAGAUAUUUUGUUGCGGAGUUCUUGUUCACUAAGAACAAUACAGAAAAAUGAACAACCAUUGAGGCACCAAGCAAAGAAGGUUAAUCAAAAGGUUGCAGUAUCGGAAAUCAAACUGACCUCCCAUCUAAUGCCGCAUAAAGUUGCAUUAAAUCAUCAAGCAUUGUCAUCACUUCUCCAGAUAAUAUUUGUUCAAAUGCGUUCGGACAGCGUGCAGACCACACAGAAGUUAAAAGGAAAACAAAUUUUUCCAACUCCAACUGAAAUGCCAUCAAGUAAUGAGGAAUAUAAUCUACUACAACUGCUGCUCAUAAUGUGAACCAAAAUAACAAAAAAUCAAUGAUGAAUACUUACCUUUUUUGUUGAGGCAUCUGAAAAUAAACUCCUCUGAUAAACUCUUUUUUCACCAAGCCUUCCAAUAUAUCCCACAAGUGAUCAAAAUUCUUAGGGAGGUUCCCGCUGUAUUUCACCUCAUCUGCUUCCAGACCUGAGUUGGGUUGAAGAAGCUUAGAACUUUUGAUCUCAGCCUCAUCCGAAUCAAAAGCAGAAGGCCCAGCACAAUCAUUAGCAUUAGCUUCUACCAAAAACGGCUACAUAUUGAGAGGAUGAACAUGGAACAUGAAUAUGNNNNNNNNNNNNNNNNNNNNNNNNNNNNNNNNNNNNNNNNNNNNNNNNNNNNNNNNNNNNNNNNNNNNNNNNNNNNNNNNNNNNNNNNNNNNNNNNNNNNNNNNNNNNNNNNNNNNNNNNNNNNNNNNNNNNNNNNNNNNNNNNNNNNNNNNNNNNNNNNNNNNNNNNNNNNNNNNNNNNNNNNNNNNNNNNNNNNNNNNNNNNNNNNNNNNNNNNNNNNNNNNNNNNNNNNNNNNNNNNNNNNNNNNNNNNNNNNNNNNNNNNNNNNNNNNNNNNNNNNNNNNNNNNNNNNNNNNNNNNNNNNNNNNNNNNNNNNNNNNNNNNNNNNNNNNNNNNNNNNNNNNNNNNNNNNNNNNNNNNNNNNNNNNNNNNNNNNNNNNNNNNNNNNNNNNNNNNNNNNNNNNNNNNNNNNNNNNNNNNNNNNNNNNNNNNNNNNNNNNNNNNNNNNNNNNNNNNNNNNNNNNNNNNNNNNNNNNNNNNNNNNNNNNNNNNNNNNNNNNNNNNNNNNNNNNNNNNNNNNNNNNNGGAAGCAAGAUACCAACAUCAAAAGGCGUUCCGUAAGAUACAAGAAACCAUUAGGCGAAAUAUAGUCAAAAACAGUCCUCCAGUUUGUAUGAUAGGUUUCAACCAAAGCUUGAUGCAACUGCCUGACAAGGUUACACCUUGUUUCUCGAGUAUUAAUCACAUGUACAGACCCCUUCUUUACUCCAAUGAUACUCCCACACAUAUUCAGAAUGAACAACUCCCAUGGGCGACUACAUUUCAAAUCUUUCACGAGCUUCUCAUGUAGUUCAGAAUCAACACUACCGGACCCCAGAAUAAUCAUUGCUAGCCUUCCAACUUGCCCAUAGGAAAGCUCAAUAGUUGAGCUGGUAUAAUCAACAACGAGUUGUUUGAGAAGUUUUUUAAAAGCAUCACUUUGUCUAAGAAGAAUCAUAUUCCCUCUCAGAGUUUUUCUCCAAUCAAAAGGAAAUAUGCAAGCAACAAUACUUUCAGCUGACAGAUCAACAAAUUUCCUUAGAUUAGACGAGUAGUAUUAUCCUCGCUCUGAUCUAUUGGGAAUACUUCAGUGGCUAUCUUGGGCCAACGACCCAAUAAUAGAUGGAAAUAACAGCCCAGCCCAAACCGGACCGACUGCGAUCUCCGAAAUAAAAGGGGAAUAAGAAACUUAAUCUACCAUUCCCUUUCGUUAUCUAUCUUUCACGCUCUCAUAGAAAUCUCGGACCCUAAGAAGAAAAAAUUAUGGCUACCGCAACCGAAACGAGCUCCCAGCAAGAUGUGAAAAAACUGACCUUCUCCUUUGAGCAUCUCGGCGCCUCUUCUCCCGGUAUGAAUUUCUUCGUUCAAUUUUUCUCGUAUGUUUUGGGAUGCGAAUUGUCUCUUAUCUGUUACUUUCGAAUUUAGAUCUGAAAGUUGUUGUCUCUUAUCUCUACUAUGUGCUCUAUUGCUUUUAUUACAAUCUGGUGUUUGUGUAAUUGGCUUUUACAAACCCCUAUGCUCGGAGUUGUUGCCGGAAUUUAUGUAAUUUUUGGUAAAGCUAGAGUCAAACGUGAUAUCCCAGGACUUGUUUAAUGGGUAUAAUGUUGCAUAAAGUUAUACAAUCAUUUAAGAUUCUGAUUUUCUUAUCUUUUAUGGGUAUCUAACAAUGGAACUUAAACAAACAGGUUCCUAUACCCCCGUCCCAUUAAGGUCGGAGGUGGUGCCUUACAAUGAGGAUUCUAAGGUGGACCGCAAACAAACUGCCGCCUAUGUUCCAAUGGGGGGUGAAGAUGAUUUUUACAUAGACAUGUCCCAGUUCGCAUUGUCUCGCAUUAAUGAGGGUUCUAAGGUGAACUGCAAACGAACAGCCACCGAUAUACCUGAUGUCUUGGGGUCUGCGAUCAGACGAUCAGUCUUGGGGCCUGUGAUCAGAGGACCAGUGUCGGGCGAAGGUGCUUAUAAACACAAAAGACCGUGUGUGCCUUGUAAUGAGUGUUCUAAGGAGCACCCCUCUUUUCCUUCUUGCCCUUAUGUGCUUUGUGAUCUUUGUCAUGACCGUCACUACCCUAUUUAUUGCCCUAGCGUGCCUUGUCAAGUUUGUUAUCAGGAUCUUCACCUUACUCCUUAUUGCCCUUACUUUCACCUUAUCCCACAGGGUGCAGCUUUUGACCGUGACAACUAUGAAGUAGUUUGUUGCUGUGGUAAUGAAUUUAAUGAGGAAAAGUGGGUUUGUACCUAUUGUACUGGGAGAAAUGCACUGCUGAAGCGUAAGUAUUGUUCCAUUUGUGAUAGUAGCUGGAAACAGCACAGCACCCAUGAAUGCCCCAAGGACAAGGUCCUUGCUACCGAGUCUAAGUCGAUUAGGGACCCAUUAUCUUUGUCAGGGCGAACAUGAUUCCAUAUGAUGUGGUCUGUUCUCUAAGAGCCCCAUGAGGAACUGUUUCAACACCUUCUGUGUUUGUGGACACAUGCAUGAAAGAUGGCAAGUUUACUGUGUUUAUGAAAUAAGCUAACGAUUAGUUUUUGUUUUUUCUGGAAAAUAGACCGGUUGCACCAGAGAGGAUUUGGUUAAUGUAAGGUUAAUGCUACUGUAAUUAAAGGCACCUCUAACAGUAUCUGAAAUUUGCUAUUUACUAUGUUCUGUAGGAUUUGUUUGUUUUUUUUUCUUUUCUCUUUUUGAUCCUUUGAAUUUUGGUUUUCUUGUCGCGCAGAAACUCUAGGAUUUGUUAAUACCUCUAUUCUGCAUCAAACAUUCAAUGAAACAAGAUUUGGUAGUGGCAACAUAACCUUGGAAGCAAGGUACAAACAUUAGAAGGUGUUUAAUAAGCUAUAAGAAACAGGCCUCCGGUCUGCAUGAUAGUUUUCAACCAAAGCUUGAUGCAACUGCCUGGCAUGAAACGCCUCCCUUGUUUCUCGAGCAUGUACAUACCCCCUUCUGUUCUCCGAUGAUACUCCCACACAUAUUCAGGAUGCACAGCUACAUUUCAAUUUUUUCUCGAGCUUCCAACUUGCCCAUUGGACAGCUUGAUUGUUGAGCUGGUAUAUUGAACGACGAGAAGCAACAUUUUGUCUAAGAAGAAUCAUGUUCAUACAUGAUACAUCUUUGCUGCGACACAAAUCUGGUUAAGAGUCCAGGUCUGGAAGGAAACUGAAUCGGAAUUCUUGAUAAUGAACUGGUAGAGUUCUUCAAGCUUGUUCAAAACAUUAUUGCUAAUAGGGAUUAGUUUGCAACUCCAAAAACUCCGAACAGCCAAAAGAAUUUGGAAAUAGUGUGGUGACCAAUUCUCCAUUCUUCAGAAUAUAUCUCUUAUCUAGGUCUAUACCUCUAACCCAAGAAGCAUCAAACACGAGUGAAAUAUAGACCGGUUUCAGAUGAAAAUCCCUCCAUUCUCCCAGGUAAUGCAGAAAGAGAUCUCCAUAGCUUCCUUUUUUGUUAACAUCUUGGGCUUCCUGAUGUUCAAAAUAUUUGACCUCUAUCUAUGGAGCCAGACUCUCCCGUCCGACAGCGUCUAUAGACACGCCGCCGUCAGAUGGAGGCUACAUGUUUUUGAAACCCCUAGCACAGCGGCAGAGAGUAACAGAAAAAUUAACUAUGCGAUGUACUUGAUCGAAUAAUUUUGAUAUUGAAUGUUUAGAACUUUGCAAAACAACGAAUUGUUUCUAAUUUUGUUAUAUUUUUUUUUAAUCAAUUUACCACUACGCCAAGUAGAGAAGAAAUUCAAAUUCCACCCCACCACUGAAUUUGAAAUCCAAACCCAGCUAUCAAAACUAAAAUAAACAACACUACUAUAAUUUUGGGUCUCAAGUUAGAAAUAUCCAAAAGCUGACAAUUCAAACUACUUGGAACCUGUAAACUGGGCUUAAAUGGUACAAAAACAUCAUCAAAUAGCACAAAAAUCCACAGGAUGUCCCAAUAUCUUCAGUCUUCCUUAACCAAGUCCGUAAACGAUGUCAUCCUAGCAGCUCUAUCAAAUACCUCCCUGCUAGCAUACGCUAGAUAAUAAUCACAAAUUUCACCGUCUGUGUUGGUAUAAGUUUGCUGCCGAAUAUGGUUUCCAAAAACAUUACACGAACCGAACCAAUUCUUGCAACAAUCUGGUGAGGACAGUUUGACAAGGUAAACCAGAAAGCCUGUUGGAGAACAUAACCAAAGUAUACUUUUCCUACGUAGACCUGUGUCAAAGCUAUAAAACCAAAACAAAAAAGACAUGUUAUGUGACUUAUGUCUAACAGUUUAACAGAAUACAUAAUACAGAAUACAUAUACACAUACACAUACACAGUUUUACAGAAUACACACAACAAUUUUACAGAAUACAGAAUACACACAGACAUACACAUAACAGUUUUACAGAACACACAUAACAGUUUUACAGAAUACAGAAUACACAUACACAUAAUAGUUUUACAGAAUACACAUAUACAUACACAUACACAUAACAGUUUUACAUAAUACAUACACAUACACAUAUUUUACAGAAUACAUACACAUACAAAUACACAGUUCUACAGAAUACACAUACACAUAACAGUUUUACAGAAUACAAAAUACACAUACACAUAACAGUUUUACAGAAUACAUACACAUACACAUACCUUCGUAGAUGUAAUUCCAAAUCCAAUGGACUCAAGAUGCGUUCAUCUGUGUUUUGAAUGAUGAAAAUCAUGGUUUUUCCAUCAUAAAACUUGUUUUCAUACUCAAUUUUAUGACGAUACAACUCAUCGAACACAGAUCCUUCAAACAAAAGCUUCGAUUCCCCGCGUUUUAUAGAAUAAACUGUCAAAAAUAUAUAAAAUGGGAGAAACUCAAUAAUUUUUAGCUCUAAUAUUUAAAAUGGAAAAAAAUAUGACAAUAUACCUUGAAUAACUCCACCAGUGUAAGGAUCAUUCUUUGCCGCUUCCAUUAAUUCUUUGACUAAGGCAUCCAUGUCCCUUGCUGAUUCUGGCCUGGUAGAAUUGUAAAAAUAAUUGAAAUAUAAGAAUAAUUAUUAUUAGUUACAGGGGAAACAUAAAAAAGCAUUCACAUAUUCUAAAGAAACUAAUAAGAAUUAUUUUUUUUUUUUUACAUACUUUCUUAACUGACAUAAUCCGAGCAAGCUUCCACUUCCAGAUCCAAAAACAUUAUCUUUUACGUUGAUCGCCUGAUCAAGCCCAUCCCCCACAAGCCUAACAUCAUGUGCCUACAAGAAAAAACAAUAGUUAAAUGUUAGAUCUUUUAUUUAUAAAAAAAAAAUAAUGUUUGAGCUUUGAUUUAUAUCAAAAAGGAGAAAUUCGAUAUAAUUUAAGACAUUUUGAGUCAAUUUAGCUUAUUUACUAUGUCCUAAUUGGUACAUUGUGGGUGUUAAAACUUGGGUGAAUAUAUGUCUAUGAGGUAUUUCAAAAAUUGGGUAUAGAUUAAAAUUCACAAACAAAAAUCUAUAUCAAAACACAUACCUAUUUAUCAGGAAUCCAAGAACAUAAGUGAACAAAAGAACGGUGAUCCUUUACAGGGUCCAAUGGAGACUCAUGAAAGUACUCAAUGGCAGCCCUGCCAACUUGAGCAAGAGUAAAUGGCAUUUGACUUCUUUUUUUUAUGCUCAUUCAUUUGUUCAUUGACACGCUGUUUCAUCUUCUGGCACCUGAUGGCAUCUCCACAUAGAGUGGCAUAAACAUUUGGAACGAUCUCUAUGAACUUCUGAUCAUUAAAGCUCAGCAGAAGCUCAUAACCAGUUCUCUUAUGUUUUGGAUCGACCGCUGGAAAUCAAACAUAAAUACGUGAACAUUAUUAAGUCUCACUUAAACAUAUACAUACACACACAAAGCAAUUUGAAUGUACCUUUAUAUGUUUGACUCUUUAGUGAAUCAACACCAACUAGUAGCUCUGUUGGCGAACAGCGUAUCCAAAAAACUGUGGUCCCGUGACAUGAUCCCAUGAAAUACUGAGUAAGCUCAGCCUCAGUGUUGCUCUCAUGCAGACUAAGGUACUCCGGGUCCUUCAAACUUGGCCAGCUCUUUGGAACUUCCAGAUCACUGAUCACAAAAUGUAAAACACAAGGAGACCAAUAAUUAGAUAAAAGUUCAGAAAAGAAGAAAAAUAUGUAUAUUAUAUCACUGCUAAGAGUAGAGUCAUUAUUUAUAAAAUCAUGGACGAAAAGAAAACGCUGAUUAUCUGGAAUAUAUUCUGGAAGGUAAAAUGACAUACCCCUCGAGACAUUUCUCCUUACACAGAUUAAUAUACUCAUCUGUAUAUUUGUUUAACAUAUUGUCCAUGCGAUUUACCAACUCUGGGAUAUCCUCUAUAGGCAUUAUGUCCCAAAUCUUCAAUACUUGUAUAUAUCUCAAAUCCUUUGCUAUGUCUGUUGUGCAAACAAUAUAUAGGUCUUCAACCUUAAAUUUCUUCAGGAUCAGUGAAGAGUUACCACAAAGUAUAUCUGAACUUUGCAUCUUCGGUCUCCAGCCACUGGCAAGCUUUAGUAGAACAUUUAUCACUGACCUCUUCAAACUGACUGACUUCAGUUUCUUGAAUGAAUUCAAAAAAUCAUCGCUAAAAAGUACCUGAAGAUUUAUUAUAGAGCAGAACAUCCAAUUUCAGAAACUUUUGAUAAGUUCACAUUAGGUUCUUAGAAAUUUAGGGGCGAUCAAGAAGUAAUAACAAAAAUCAAUAUCUUCAAUUACCUUCCAUCUAGCUCUUCUGAAAAGUACACUGUCAGAAUUAAGCAAAUCAUCUAGUUGGUCGAACUGUUUCUUCACUUGUAGUAUGGCCUUGGCUAAAUCCUCGUCUUCAUCAGCAUUAAAAAAGCAUUGGCGAUUUUUGGCAUCAAGGACCAAGGCCUCCCAAACAGACUCACUUUCACAUAGCGUUCUUUCAUUCCCCAAAAUCCACAGGCAGUGCCUGCAAACAUCAGAGAACCAGAAGUUAUAUCCAUCAAGCUAAUUAAAAAAGAUGCAAAAGCAUACAGGUUUAUGUAGGACAUACCUUGCCCUUGUAAGAGCAACAUUAAUUAUCUGCGGUUUUGAAAUAAACUCAAGUGACUGUUGACAAUUGGAUCGUACAGUGGAAAAUAUAAUGAUGUCCUCUUCCCCACCCUGGAACCCGUCAACUGUCUUCACUUUCACUAUAAAUCCAUCAAGAUUAUUAUAUUUCUUUCCAAGUUUGUCCUCGAUUGCAACUACUUGAGCAGCAUAUGAAGAAACUACACCAAUACUGAGAUUCUGUUUUGAAUCAAUCCAUUCUGUUACAAAAAGAAAACCGAAAGCCAUCAAUUGUCAGUAUGAAAAGAUAAAGAUGAUAGAAUUUCUACAGUUACGUGCUUGUUUGAGAAAAUGAUUCAAGGAAUUAUACUACCAAUGCUUAAAACCUUCAUUUCUACUACAGGAUUUAUAAUAGAUAAAUAAAUAAACCAUAUACAAUGAUCAUGCAUCAGAAGAAGAAAAGAAAAAAAAAAAAAAACCUAUUCAGUCUUGUAAACUAUAUAUAUUCACCACCUAAAUGGAACCAGUCCCACCAGAAGCUAUGAAGCACAGGGCAGAUAUAAGAAGUCUUGCAUGCAGUACAAAAACUCUUAGAUGAGCUUUAGCUUUUCUAAAUGGAAUAAAUAUUUAUCCUUACUAACAAAAUAUUAAACUUUCAAGUCAAUGCUAUGCAUACACCAAAGACAAUUUGAAAUUUAUUAACAAAUAUGACCAGAUCAGAAGCUGAAGUGCACCGUCACAUAAAAUAAAAUGAAGCAAGUUAAAAAUUGAAAAAAUAAAAUGAGAUGAGAACACAAGGAAGAAUGCAACGAUAUACCUAUGUACAAAUUCUGCAGUAUUUGUGAAACAACAGCAACCUCAACCAUAUUCUUCCGACUACAUCCAUCCUCGUCUUUCUCUUCUUGUCCACCAAUUACAUUGAUAAAAGAGUAAGGACCAAACAUUGACCCUUUAAGAUAACUUUCCUCCUGGCCUCUCCUUUUGAUAUAUGGAGCAUCCAGGAUCAUGUUAUUGUAGAAACUAGAAUUUGGGAAGGAACUGAUUGAUGGAUGCAUCCUGUACUGCAUAUUCAGGAGGUGUUUUGAGUGACCAACUAAGCUUAACCUCUCAAACAAGCUUCUUGCAAAACCAGCUUCAUCAGAAACCUACAGAAGUAAGGAAUUUAGCAUAAAGUAUACAUAAAUAAGAAGUGGAACAAAAACUGAUAGGACGAGUAAAGACAUGACAUCUACUUACAGUGCUCUUUACUAUAGCAGGUAACUGACAUUCGUCACCAACAAGAACAGCAUGCCUCACACCUGGUAGUUGAAGGGGGAUUGUUGAUUCACACUCUUUCAAUUGUGCAGCUUCGUCAAUAACCACAAUGCUUAAUGGCUCCAUUGCCAGUUUAUGCAACUUAUAUGAGCUGGAUGCAGUGCAAAAUAUCAAGGAAGCACUUUUGAAAACAAAAUGCCAUUAGAGACUCUUGCUUCAUAAAGUCCGGAAGAUCAAGUUUUCUAAGAGAGUCAAAUAGUUUAUGCAAAACUUUAAGGCAUUCUCUUCUAUUUGUGAAUAGAAGAAAAGAGUUAUCAACACAUGUCUCUGAUAUGUCUUCUACAUCAGAACGAGAGAAAAUGUCUUCAAGUGCUUCAGGAGCAACAUUACCUUGAAACAACAAUGAUUCAAAGGAAUCUACCAGGUUGACAAGCGAAACCAUGCUUUGGAAAAUAUCUGCGGAAAUGUGAUUUUUCGCCAUGUGGGUACAGAAGAUAGAAAUGCAAUAUCUUAGAGGUGAUGCAAUAGAAACAAAUCUAUCUCUUAUAAACUCCAGAAAUGUUUUGCACUUGUCCUUGCCAACUUUAGUGACAAUUCUACUUUCUUUCACUUGCAUUUGGCCUGUAGUCUUCAGUUCCUUCUCAAUAGUUAACCCGUUUCCCAGAAAAGUACGGUAGUGAGAAACACCAUCUUCAAGACAUUCUAUCAUGGAAGUAAAGCAAUGCCUCCAACCAGUCUGUGGCCCUAGGCACUCAACAAGCCUUUUGAGACGGAAAUCUAAAUAUAUCUCUUCAAUGUCUGAGCCAAUUUUGAGUCGCUCCUUAUUCCCAAAUAGAAGAACUUUUCCCAAAGAACAAUACGGAGCAUUGGACUCUACUUCAGUCACCAUCUUUACAAGGCGAGAAGCAAUUUCAGUUAUUGCAACAUUUGUUGGGGCACAAACAAGAGUCCUGCAAUUCAUCUGUAGCAGGCUUAAGAGUAGAGUGACAAUGGUUUUCGUCUUUCCAGUACCAGGAGGACCCCAAAUCAGUUCCACAGCAGACUUGUCACGAGAAUGCAGCAUUUCAAGACAGGCUAAAACAGUCCCAGUUUGGGAUUCACUCAAGCCAGAUGAUAAACUCUGUACCAAUCCCAUAUUCACAAUGUCACUGUUCUUUUCAGAGCAGACACUUUUCUGAGCCUGUAAUCAAGCAUAAGGUCUUCAGUCAGUUCCAGCAAUAUAUGACAGUUUAAAGAAAGAAAGAGUUACAGAUACAUAUAUGAUUACAUCUAAAAAAACCAUUACUUAAUUUCAGUGGUACACAAGUAUUAGAGUUAAAAGCAAGGGGGAAACAUUUGUCAUAUUUCUUCAUGAAAUUUAAACCAGAAGAUAUGGUCUCAAUAUUAAUAAAUUAUAACUGAUAUAGUAAAGGUUAUUUAGCUGUGUAAAAAAGCUGAAUUCACCGAGUAGGUGAGUACUAUCUAUGGUGUGACCAGUAUUACAUUACAUCUUACAUCAUCUAUAGCUUAUGUAACGCAACUAUUUCCCAUGUUAGUGAAUGUACUAACUCAACUAAUCAAAAUCUACUAUCACAAUUUACAAAGCUCUCACCACAUUAUCAGUGCACAGAACCUCCUUGACAAUCUUCAAGUUUUUGGACAUGUGCAAAGCUUUCCAUAUUCUUCCAUUUGGUAUUAAGUUCACUAGGAAAACCAUAAACAAUGGUGUUGUGCUCUUUAAGACUUUAAGCUCUUUGGAAGCCUUGACUUUAAAAUAAAGAGAAGUAGUGUCAUCCUUGUUCUCAUUUUCUGACACUUUAGUGACUGAUCCAAAAGCCCACGACCUCCCUAACCUUUGUAAAUCAGAAACAGUUUCAAGUUUAGCAUUUGCUAAAACAAAGAGAUCACCAGGCAAAGUUUUGUAUGGCUCCUUGCCACGGUCAUUGAACCUGUUUCGCCAGUAAUCAACCUUGACAUUGUAGAGCUUUCUUCCAUAUGGCUUGGCAUUUUCAAAAGAAACUACUUUAGCAUAUGGUGCCCUGUGAAUAGUCUCCAUACUUGAAUGGACUUGUGCUCGUGUUUCUUCUAAUAAAGGAUACACAUAACACCCGAAGUAAUGCUCAACAGACUGAAAUGACUCAGGAAUCUUUUCCACCUACAAUAACAAACACAAACAGUAAGUACUUACAAAGAUAGAAAAACAAUCAGUACUUACUCCUCAUUUCAUUGGAAAAACUUGAAUUCUCUAGAGCCGUUUUUCGCAAAAGCAUGAACUAUUUACAUGAAUCUUAAACAUAUAAGUUAAUCCGAAACGCAUUUACUCAUAGUUUCAGAAUUCAAACACAGCACACAAUCAAAACAGAGCCUUUUUCUUUUGCACAUCUCUGCUCAGCAGUACAAAAUGAAAAACAAAACCCACAAAAUCAAUUACAUUUUCACAUUGCAGUAAAAUCAAAGCAUGAUGAAAAAUUAGAAAACUGAAACAGUUGGGGUUAAAGAUUAGGUCUUUCUGAGUCAUCAAGAUUUGGUGGGCUUUGAGCUACUAAAAAGGAACCUCCUUUCACAACCGUCAUCAAGAUUCAAGCCAUAAAACCUUUCCCAUUUCACUCAUCUAUGCUAAGUAAACAUAAAGACGCUACCUUUCCUCAGUAAAAACACGAAAGAUGUGAUUUUUAUGCAGCAAAAGUGAAAACCAAUUACCUUGUUCUUGAAGAGACGUUCGUUGAGAACGUCAUCAAUGGACCAAGAGAAGACUGUAUCGGCCAAAAGGUUGGGUCUUUUACCUUUCUUCUUGUGUGAAGCUUCCAUCUUCACCUUUUCCAACUCAAAGGCGCUUGCUUUCCUUGUCUGCAUUCAAAACAAAGCAUGUGAUUUUGAUUUUGGAACCCACAAAGUUGUGUAGAGAAAGAAAAAGAACUGAUUUUGAAGAACAGAAAUGAAAGAAGUACAUUACAUUUUCAACUCUCUGGGAUUGAAGCUAGCAUGGAGUGUGAAAAGAGAGAGGUGAAGCUUCUGUGUGGAGUAAUCGCAAGGGUUUAGAAAGUGAGAGCAAAUUGUGAAGGCUUGGAGGAGAAGUAGUUCAUCUCUUGACCAUUUGACCCUUGUCUUCUUUUUUCUUUUUCUUUUUAUGCUUUGUAUUGUAAAAUGCACAUUUAUUUAGACGUUGGUUAUGUGAAGAGAGUCGUUGGGAGUCCGGACAAGUUCUUCCCACAAAGGUCUUUAUAUACAAGUGCACUAAAUAUACAAGUUCAUAUUUUGUCAAAGUUUAGAUUAUCAAUUUGGACAUUUGGGUAGAUCAAAUCCGAAACAAACGUUGUGUUACAAACUGAAGGUAAAUGGUCACUAAAAGGCAAACUGAAGCCCAGUUGUGUACAGUACACCAAGAGAGAAAAGAAUAUAGAGAAAAAUAAAUUACACACGGUGUACCUAUGCAUUGUGUCUCCGUAGCUAGUUUCUCAACUGUAGCCAUAUUAUCAUGAUGUGGCAUCAAAAUGUACUAAGAGAUACGAAAGCUACCAAGACAAUCGAAAUGUUUAUAACUGACCUUCCAUCUAAUGUGGCGUAGAAUUGCACCAAUUCAUCCAGCAUUUUCAGCACUUGUCUAGAUAACUUAUGUUCUUCUUUGCCAACACCAGACCAUGCAGCAGCGAAAAGCCAAAUAAUCUUCUCCAAAGCCAACUGAAAAGAACAGUAAGGAAAAAUUUAACACUAUGAAUCGCUGGCUUAUCUGAACCAUGUAAUAACUACUAGAAUUACCUUGAUUGUUGAGGCAUCUGAAAAUCUAUUGCACUGUUCUCUUCCCUUAGCUUUGUUGGUUUGAAACCCUUUAACUAUUUCCCACAAAGGGAUAAAAAUGGAUUGGGAAGUUAUUUCUAUUCCAAUGCUGAAGGGUUUCAGUGGUGUGCCUUUGCCCUUGUGAAGAACGAGCCACAGGAUGUUUUGAUUUCAGAAUUUCACCAGUGCAUAGGUUAGCCUUCAUGUAGAUGCAAAUGACAUCUGAACAGCAGAACCUUGAACAUUCAACCCCGAAACUUGUAACCACCAGAGAAUCACGUAAAGAUGCAAUUCCCUUAAGGACAUAACAAAACUCCUUUGGUAGCUGUUCAGAAAUGUACUUCCUCCUCAGCAUAUCCAAAAGAAUAUCAAAACCCAUACCAAAUUCAGAUAAAGCAAACAAAACACAAAACCCCAUCUCUGCAUCAGUAGCAAGUAAUACAUCUUCCAGCAUCUUCCAACUCUUGGUACACUUUUUAAUCAAUUUAAUCAUAUUUAUCUUAUCAAAAAGAAGUUCCCGAACCACAUCAAUCAGAAACUGAAGGAUGCAUCCAAAAGAAAUUAAAACAUCAGCCACUAUUACUCGGUAAUAUUCCUCUUUAUAUAUUAGCUGUUCAAUAAAACAAGAUCUUGUAGUGAUUGCAUAACCUUAGAAGCAACAGAUCCAAAUCAGAAGGCAAUCUACAAGAUAUAAGGAGCAAUCAGGUGAUAUAUGUAGCAGUGUAAACUCCAAUUCUUACUAUAAGUUUCGAACAAUGCAUCAUGAAACCUCCGCAAAAGAGAACCUCUGGACUGAUAUUUCCAAUUAAAGAGCCUUCAGAAAAGUCUGACUCUCUUUGUUCUACAACAGUGUCAGACACCACAGCACAUUCUAGAACUGUUGUAUUUUUAGGCUGCUCACUGUUAUAACCUUCUGGAAGCUCAGACAGAAUAUUGUCACAUGACACAUAGAUCCUCAAUGAACUUUUUCCAAGGAGAGUUGCAGUCUAUAUUUUUUACAAGCUUCCCACAAAGUUCAUUAUCCAGCUUACCAGACCCGAGAAUGAAACUUGAUUUGGUAGUGACAACAUUACCUUGGAAGUAGGAUACCAACAUCAGAAGGUGUUCAAUAAGAUACAAGAAACAAUUAGGUCAAAUGUAGUCAAAAACUUCCUCCAGUUUGCAUGAUAUAUAGGUUUCAACCAAAGCUUGAUGCAACUGCCUGACAAGAAACACCUCCCUUCUUUUCUCCAAUGGCAUUCCCACACAUAAGGCACUCCCUACAUAAUCAGAAAUAACAACUCCCAUGGCCGACUACAUUUCAAAUGUUCUCGAGCUUGUAUAGUUCAGAAUCAACAAUCCCAGACCCCGGAAUAACCUACAUGUCAAUCUACCGCGUUCACUUCUAUUGUUAUGCAUAGCUAGCUGGCUGAAUAUCAGAUGCUCAGGUGUUCUUCCCUAGGAAAAGCUCUGAACAGUAUCUGACCAUUUCCCCGGAGAAUGAUCACUGCUGCUGUUCAAAGACAGUAUAGCAUCUGCCCUCGAAUCCCUUAUCAUGCUCAAAACCUUUCUCAUUGUAGGUCUGUUCUCUGGUGUAAUCGAAACACAAGCCAUUGCAAUAUUAAGAAGCGCCUGAAGUUUCUCCUCUGAUGCCUCAUUGCCAGAGCUGACAGGUUCUGUCUCCUCGCGAACGGAACGAACCCAUCGAGGAAUGUUUUGAGUCAUGUUCAAAUAGAGGCAAUACAUGCAUGGGAAAACAAAUUCUCAUGUACCCAGUCCCUUUCUUUUCCACACCAAGUUCAGUUUCUCCUUACUGCAAUCCUCCUCCAUCAACCAUUUCAGCCCCUAACAUAUACAUUAAGAUUAAUAAUCCAACUCUCAACCAAUUUAGUACCCCAAGUAGGAUCAAAGCAUGCUACCUUAAUCCAAAUUCCAACUCUCCACAAAGUACUUCGGUUGUUCCUUCAUUGAAUUUGAAAGCUCGGAGUUCCUUAAUCAAAUAAAAUUCAUCGCAAAUCAGAAACGAAGUCUCAAUUUGGCCUUAACAAAACGAAUUAGAUGGUCCACACGCCGCGGCGUUUGCCGGAGUUGAAAGUCUGAAUCAUGGUGUUUCGGGUAAACCAGAGCCGCUGACUUCACCAUGGAAGUUUAGAUGUGGCCGGAGAAGGUGAAUCGAUCCUUCCUUGCUGCGAAGGGGCGUACGUGAUCGUCCGGCAUCGGGGGUGGCUGAAGGCUUUGAGGAUCGCAUAUGGCUACAUGCCUGCAUGUGAGGUUCAGAUUGGGUUUUGGUCGGUUUGGAAGUCUGUUUCAAUGCAUAAAAAAUAGCUUGGGUUGGGCUUGAUAAUGGGUUGGGCUUGUUUUUUGGUAGGCCUAGUUAUUUAGGGUUUUAAUAUAUUUUUUUAGGUUUUCAAUCUGUUAACGUGGAACUUGGGGUAACCCCCUCUGCGUAGGGUGGUCUAGGUUGCGCCUGGCUCUGUUCUUUUGAGUUUCAUCACAUGAUGAUUGCAUUAAGUUAUUUUAGGGUAUCUCUGCAUGGCUUAAUUCUUACGUGGCCCCUCUGAGGCAAAUCAUGUAUAUGUAAUCUCAUUUUUUAUUGAAUACAAAGCCGUACGUCUUUCCUCUCAAAAAAGAGUUUUGGCUAUCUUGGGCCAACGAUCCAUUAAGCUUAUAAUAGAUGGAUCCACAAUUGAAAUAACAAACCCAACCGACUGCGAUCUCCGAUAUAAAAAGGGAAUAAGAAACCUAAUCUAUCUACCAUUCCCUUUCGUUAUCUAUCUUUCACGCUCGAACCCUAAGAAGAAAAAAUUAUGGCUACUGCAACCGAAACGAGCUCCCAGCAAGAUGUGAAAAAACUAAUUAACCUUCUCCUUUGAGAAUCUCGCCGCCUCUUCUCCCGGUAUGAAUUUCUUCGUUCAAUUUUUCUCAUAUGUUUUGGGAUUUUUCAACAGUUUGUUGCGAAUGUUUUUGAUAAAAAUAUGAUUAUUGAUUGUGAAAAAUAUAUAUGUUACUUUAUAAUCUCAGAUCUGAAGUUGUUGUUGUUGCUCUUGUCAGGUAAAAAGAAACAGUUGGGUUCCAGAUCUGGAAGCAGCGAUGGAAAAGGCUACACGGCAUCCGAUGAUUCAGGUUUUCUGCUUAAUUCGUUCCCCUUUCGUUUAUUAAACUAAAGAUGAUGCUCCCAAUCAUGCCGGGAAAACCACGUUGUUGUCCUUUAUGUAUAAGUCUUUACAGAUCUACGGCAUUAGGAGCUCGAAGAUACCAACCCCCGUACAAAUACUCCACUUAUGCACAAAAUUUCUUGAGGCAUUUCAAAGCAGUUGAUGCUCCCAUCCUGGUGACUUCAUCAUAUUGAUCAACCCCUGCAUCAUAUGCAAGCAUUCGUAACGCACCUAUCAUUUUUUGUUCUGGGAGCAAUCCCAGCUUUCUUGUGACAUUUGGCUUCUGUUUCCAAAAAUCGUCGAAAUUGCAAAGGUCCGCCAUGAUGCGAUUGAAUACUGGUUUUUGCAUUUGAUAACGCUGACAAAAAAUUGUGUUGCUAUACACUAGACGCUCGACAAAGUAAUCCUUCAUCAUGUUAGCCCCUCUUGAUUGCCUGUGUCUUUCGACGUUAUAGGCACAACCAAGUCGUGAACCACGACCUUAAGGAGUCUGCAUCUGCAUAUGGUGAUAUUGGGCAACCAAUGCAGCGGCUUGAGCAUUGUUGGACCGAAUCUGCAUAAUAUGCUCUUCAUCUUCUUCAUCUCUCGCUCUCAAAUAAUUUCUAGUACAAUCCAUGAAAAUGGUGAGAAGUGAAAUAGAUGAUGAUAUCUGAGUUUAGAAGGAGGAGAUGAAUGUGUGAAUGUAGAAUGAGUUUAAAGCUUAUUUAUUGACGUUUUUAGGAGACAAACUGUUAUCGUCUACACACGUGGCAUGUCAUGAUUUGCUUGAAAUCCUAUCCAAAAUCAUCUCAAUUAUUUUUGACGAUAACGAUAUAUGAAAAAGACAUGUGUCGUCUGUUUAAAUUCCAACAACCACCCAGAUACAAACUCCAUCUCAUAAACCAAACCCACAUACCGGAAUCACAAAAGCCAGAGUCUUGCCGGAGCCGGUCUUGGCGGCGCCCAGAAUGUCCCUUCCGCAGAGCGCGUGUGGCAAACACGCGCGCUGGAUAUCGGUCAUGUCGGUGUACCUGGACUGCCGCAAGGCGUCCUUGGUCUUCUUGGAGACGGGGAGCUCGGCGAACCUGGUGGCGCCGGCGUAGCGGGAGAAGGACGUGGGGUCCACGCGCCCGAUGGGGGCGUUGGAGGGGAGAGGCGGGAGGGACAUUGGGUUGGAGCCGCAGUCGGGUUUCUGGGAUUCGAUCCAUGAAUUGAGGAGCUUGAUUUCUUCGACCUCUGAUAGCAGCUUUUGCUUCCGCGUUGUUUUCGAUAUGGGUUUUCUCAUUGCUGCUCUCUCUGCGACGACGACGUUAGGUUUUUGGGGUUUUAAACUGAUGAGGGUUUAAGCCUUUACGGCUUUACGUGAAAAUGUAAAAGUUAACUUAAACAAAACAAAAAGGGUAAAUUUUCUCUUGUUUUUACUUUUUAUUUUUUUAUCAGUUAAAUAACCCCGGAUACUAAAACGAGAGUCUGGUGUGAGUAAUCAUAUUGCACUCAUUCGUCUAUUUUAUUAUGAUCAUGGCUUCAUCUAUAAUCAUUCUCAAAAAAUACCACCAAGUCGUGACGCGUACCAUAUUUUAACCAGUAAUUAGUUAGUCUCAUUUAUAAUUAUUUUUUAAAAAAUAUGUGUCAAUGACAAAAUAAAAUGUGUUAAUAGCAUCACAUUUUUCUUAUUAUUCUCAACCUUGUCAGAUGAAUCAUAUUGCACUCACUCGUCUAUUUGUUAUGAUCAUUUUUCUUUAAAGUACUACUCAUGGUAAUUGUAUAAAAAACUUACGAUUUGCAAGUUAACUAAUUUAGCCAUCGAUCAAUUCUCAUUGAUUUUACAAUUCUAUUCAUUGAUUUGCAAGCAACUUGCGAUUUGAGACUCCAAUAAUGUAGUUGUCUAUGUAGAAAUAUUGUCGUUCUCAUUUAACACAAAUAACAUAAAAAGGGGAACGGUGAGGCCGUGAGGGAGCCUUUUCCUUCCCGCUUAUCAUCAACAAGGACCAAACUUUACACCAAAAAUACUACGUAAGAGGGAUAGGAUAACACAAAAUGGCAGAAAAUGAGAAAGUUGCUCGGUAUCAUAACAAUGAUUAAACACAUUCAACUAGCAAAUUCAGCUUAGGAAGUUCUGGACACGUACAUUUCCCUCCGUUUUGUCACACUUUUCUGCUGUAAAAUGGUUGCCGGACCCAGACAAUGGUCUCGAGUUCCUUUCCAGCAAGUUUGACAUUGUGCUCCAAAAACAGCUGCGAAAAUUCAGGUUCUAUCUUUUCAGGCCAAUAAAUCCUCUCCCCCCUCGUGAGCAACCUCCUGCUAAGUUGUGCAACUGUAGAUAUUUUGUUCCGGAGUUCUUGUUCACUAAGAACAAUAGAGAAAAAUGAACAACCAAUGAGGCACCAAGCAAAGAAGGUUAAUCAAAAGGUUGCAGUAUCGGAAAUCGAACUGACCUCCCAUCUAAUGCCGCAUAAAGUUGCAUUAAAUCAUCAAGCAUUGUCAUCACUUCUCCAGAUAAUAUUUGUUCAAAUGCGUUCGGACAGCGUGCAGACCACACAGAAGUUAAAAGGAAAACAAAUUUUUCCAACUCCAACUGAAAUGCCAUCAAGUAAUGAGGAAUAUUAUCUACUACAACUGCUGCUCAUAAUGUGAACCAAAUAACAAAAAGUAAUGAUCCACUUACCUUUUUGUUGAGGCAUCUGAAAUAAACUCCUCUGAUGAACUCUUUUUCACCUCCUGCAAGCCUUCCAAUAUAUCCCACAAGUGAUCAAAAUCCUUAGGGAGGUUCCCGCUGUUUUUCACCUCAUCUGCUUCCAGACCUGAGUCGGGUUGAAGAAGCUUAGAACUUUUGAUCUCAGCCUCAUCCGAAUCAAAGCAGAAGGCCCAGCACAAUCAUUAGCAUUAGCUUCUCCAAAANNNNNNNNNNNNNNNNNNNNCAGACCCCUUCUUUACUCCAAUGAUACUCCCACACAUAUUCAGAAUGAACAACUCCCAUGGGCGACUACAUUUCAAAUCUUUCACGAGCUUCUCAUGUAGUUCAGAAUCAACACUACCGGACCCCAGAAUAAUCAUUGCUAGCCUUCCAACUUGCCCAUAGGAAAGCUCAAUAGUUGAGCUGGUAUAAUCAACAACGAGUUGUUUGAGAAGUUUUUUAAAAGCAUCACUUUGUCUAAGAAGAAUCAUAUUCCCUCUCAGAGUUUUUCUCCAAUCAAAAGGAAAUAUGCAAGCAACAAUACUUUCAGCUGACAGAUCAACAAAUUUCCUUAGUGUGUUUAGAUCUUCAUCAUUCAAAAACUUGGAUCCCAAAACACACUUCGCUACCGCAUACAUCUUUGCAGCUACAUAAACCUGGUUAAGAGUCCAGCUCUGGAAAGAAACUGAAUCGGACUUCUUGAUAAUGAACUUGUAGAGCUCUUCAAGCUUGUUCAAGACCUUAAUACUACAAGAGAUUAGUUUGGAACUCCAGAAAUUCCGAGAAUCCAAAAGAAUUUGGAAAUAGUCUAUGGUGACCAAUUCCCCCUUCAUCAGAAUAUAUCUUUUAUUUUUACCUGUGACCCAAUCAUCAUCAGACAUGAGUGAAACAUAGACUGGUUUCAGAUCAUCAUGAAAAUCCCUCCAUACUCCCAAAUAAUUCAGAAACAAGUCUCCAUAGCAUCUCUUUUUGUUAACAUCUUGGUCUUCAAGAUUAUCGAAAUAUUUGAUCAAGUAAACAAUCUUGUCCUUCACAAGAUUCCAGAAAUACACCAGUGAAUCAACAGAAAACUGCUUUUUUGAUUCCUUCACUUCUAAACACUUUAUCAUAUCAUCAGGCGAUUUUUCUUCCCACAAAUACUUUGAGCUUGAGGACAGAUGAGAAUUAAGUAUUUUUUGGCUGGAAAACAGUUCAGCUCUCACCAAUUUCAUCUCUGGUCUGAUAUUAUCAACCUCAUCAUAAUAGUGAACUGCACAUCUCUCAAGAAACUUAAGUUCAGUUUUAUCAGUCCCUUUUUCUCUUAUAGCCAGACCAUACUCUUCUCUUGCAUGUUGCUUCCAAUCCUUAAUAUACUGCAAACCUAUGUCAAAUAGAUCUCCCACCAAACAUGCAGUAAGACACUCUGAGAAAAGUUUCCCCCUAGCAUAUACAUCAGCCGCCAAAUCAUAGCGUUCUGCUAGUGAGAAGCAUUCGCCGGCCUUUUGAAGUCCGGGUUCACCACAUUUUUCCAUAUAUAUAGUAGCUGCAAAAUUGAAAUUUAAUACUUGAGACAUUAAUUAUACUUAAAACUCAAAAGGCCAAUGACUGAAACCACAAAAGCUGGAUAAUCACAACAGAUGAUGCUAUCAUACCUGCCCUUACAUACAUCCCCAAAUUACAAAAGCAUCUAGCAGCAUAUUCUGGCCUUUCUAUGGAUUCAAAAAUGUUUGCCGCAUCCUCAUAGCUGCCUGCUAGAUAAAAGCAUUCUGCAGCUCUUUCCAGUCCUUGUUCACCACAUUUGUCCAAAUAAAUCCUACCUGCAUCACCAAAUAUACUUACUCAAUGCAAGCAAGAGUUUGGAUAUAGCAAUAACAGACAUAUGAAAAAUAAUUAUUUACUGUUGCAGGAAAUUGUAUCCUCAUACCAGCCCUUUCGUAAUCCCCUAAAUCAAAAAAGCAAUUGGCAGCAGAAUUUGCCAUUCCUAUAUCUUCAAAAGUUAUUGCAGCUUCCCUAAGAAAGGAUCUGGCCUUUUCAGGAUUUGAUGAUUGCGUACAAUCAGCCAAAACUUUAAGGCCAGAUGCUCUUGACUUUCUUUCCCAAUUAAUAUCAUGUGCUUUUUCAAAGCACAUAGUGGCCAGUUCAUAGUUAUGCUGGUGAUAUAGCUGCACAAAACAUGAAUAUUAGUAAUUCAGACAGAUAAGAAGGAAAAAAAAAAUAAUGAAAGGAUCCUAUGAAAAAAAUAAUUAUAAUCAUCUUAGCAUCACAAUGACAAUCACUGUGAUGCUUAAAACAUGCAUAAAGGUGAUAUUAAUAUAACAUCUGAUACAACAGCAGCAACAACAGCAGCAAAAAUGCUUAUAUCUAUUCCAGAAACUAAACUAACCUUCAUGCCACGCAUUCUCCACUCCUCUGGGGUACUUUCAACUUUCAUUUUCUCUACAAGAGAAUCAUCAAUUUGCCUCACUUGUAUCAGACACUUCUUCUUCCAAAAGUCAAACAUGGGACUGCAGAUAUCAGCCAUUUUCUCAUAAAUCCAAAGUCUCUGUUUUGUGCGUGUAACAGCAACAUACAAUUGCUUCAAUUCAGAGCACAGCAAAUGGUGUUUGCCUCCAUUGAAACUUGGAAAUUUCUCAGGUGUUCUCGGAUCAAGCAAUUCAUUUUCCUUCAUAUAUUCAUAUAUCAGCCUCCAUUGCUGUUUGAGGGAUGAAGAUCCAAAAAAGUCAUACAAAAUCACAUCCUACAAAACAGAGAUAUGAAUGUUAUGACUUACAAAUGAACAAAGGAUGGAUUUGAGCCAAAUAUAAAAAGCCAAUUGGCCCGAUUGUAUCUCUAUAUAUAUUAUAAAUUGCAGCAAGUUCUUAUCAAUUUCAAAUCUGAACCAGCAUCAUACCCUAAAGACAUUUAAAAACUGCAGCCAAAUGAUAUUGAAAGAGAAAGAAACAAAAGAACCGAUCUUGUCACUGGCAGAUUGAUUACAACUUAAAUCUCUUAAGAUGAUCAACGUUACGACUUCCAUGUGAUACGACUAUUUAAUGACCACUAUGGUAAUCACCUGAAACUCGAGCCCCUUGCUCUCCAAUAUGGUAAGAACAAGAGCCUGCUUGCCAACAAAGUUGGAAAUUUCCUUUCGAGCACAAGAGUCACGCACCAAAAUAACCUGCUCUGCUCCGAAGCCAACAAUGCUUCCUGAUGUACUAUUACUCCCAAAUAACUUUCCAAUCAUAUUUUCAUUUUCAUCUUCUCCGGAUUCAAGUAAAACCGGAGCUUCCCCAUGUACUGGACUAGUUUCAGGAUUCAAAGGAUCAAUAUAUUGGGGGAAAAAAUGAUACAGUAGAUCAAUUAUGCUCUGUGAUAACUUCAAUAUACCAUUAUGUGUGCGGAAGUUCUGAGUCAAAUGAAACUUGUUCGAGAUUUUUGCUUUGCCAAACCCUUUUUCAUGCUUGUUGCUUCCCGAUUCCAACAUAAACUUCUUGUAGAACAGAUGCCGUAUAUCUUCAAAUCUGAAGUCAAUACCCUUUGAAAUGGUCUGCGCCGUAUCACCCGAAAAGACAAAACCCUCGUCGACAUUACUACAGAUAUGCUUGAAUAGGGCAACUUGACUCAUUGUAAGAUCCUGUACUUCAUCAAUGUACACAUAAUCCAUCUCAUCACCCCUAUAAUUUUCAUGUUUCAGCCGACGGUGAAUAUCAUUUACGAAAUCAGCAAUAUCGAACUCCCCAUUCCUCAGCUUCAUUUUUUCAUAAACCUGAAAUAUAUCAUAUAUGAUCUCUUUAUUCUCCUCACUAAGGUUGGAAGCACGACCUGACAUUUUCACAUAACAGUCCCUACUACAUAUCCCAUCACUUGCUUCCAAAGCUUCCAGACCACCUUUUAUAUGAGAAAUAAUCUCUGUAAAGACUCUUGAAGCAUCAAGCUUCUUUGUUAUCUGGAUAUUAAAAUGAGGCCAGUAUGAUGAAUAGAACUUAUCAUAAUUGACCUCCUUUGUCCUCAUGACGGUUUGCAGCAGAACAGAUCUAGAACACUCUAGUGAACCAUGAGGAAGAUUUAGCUUUUCAAGGAAUCUUUCAAAGUAAGAAUUACCCAAACUUCCAUCCAGCAUCAUUAAGAACUUACUAAAUGUUAUGAAAAGAGGAUAGAUCUUCAGCGGAAGAUCAAGAAAAGAGUUUGGAAUAUCCCCAAACUGUGCUUCCUCAGCAUCAAAAUCAUCCAUGUCAAACAAACUGAACUCAGAUGAAUGGCUUCCACCAGAAGAAAAACUGUAGGGACACAAAAUUAAUAUUAUUAAAACGAUUCAUCAAUUGAAGUUGAUGUAUACAGUUGAAGAGAAUAUCUGGCAUGGUUUGCCAAGAUGACAAUGUAUCAUAUUAAGCUAAAAUAUCUACAGAUGGAUGAGCAGGAAGAAUGGUAUCACAAAUGAGGUGCUAAAUAUCAUGCAUGCUUGCAUAUUUAGCUAACUUAAUUGAUAAAAGUUCAUGUACCUAAGGUGAAUUAUUUGUUCGCAGAAACUGAAUAUGAAUAUGCAAUGACAGAAAUUAAGUUUUCUGUACGUACAUUCAGGUUCGUUUCAUUUGCAUACUUACAAGAUAUUACCAAGUUUCAUCUAAGAUCAACAUAAAGAAUAUAAAAUGAUUCUUGGGUAUCUAGUGCUACAAGAGAAUGGUGAACAGAAUUAAAGAGUUCAGUAUAAAAUGUAUAUAUAGUGAAUACAAACAAAUAGGUUCAAUUAUAUAUACUAAACCAUCCACGAUUCAUUUGUGAAAGAAUCCCCUUACCUUUUCAAAUGUAAAACAUGUUGCUUCACAGCAAAACAAAGUUUCGGACUCACUGUUACAAAAAUCUGUCGUAGAACAGAACUCUCCUCUGCUCCAUUCAAUGCUUCUUCUGCCAUAUUGUGACCCUCUUCGUUCUGAUACAACUUCAUUGACAAAACAGUAGUCUUACCGGUUCCUGAUCGUCCAACUAUAAAGGUACUCCAACCGUAAAGGAUUGCGUCCAUUUCCUCGUCUGUGACUUCAAAAGGGAGAUCCAUUUUUGUACCCUCACGGUCAGAGAGUAAGUGAUUCACCACCCCAGAUGAUAAGGAGUAGAACUUCAUCAGUAACAAACUCUGAUUGAACUUUGAACCUUCAACAGAACUAUCAUCCUGGGACAUGCUAAGAUCCUUAUAUCGAACAAUAUCCAAAGAGGGCGGCCAGGUCAUUGGAACUUCCAAGUCACUGGUUGCAAUUGACAAACCACAAAAGUAUUACUAUUUUCUAAAAAUAAAACAAAUUUGUACCUAUAUAUAUACAUGUUGUAUAAUUCCAUAUAAAGGGGAACAGGAACAAAUGUACAACUUCAAUCAAAAUACUAAAAGGUAAAACAUACCCCUCGAAAUAUUUCUCACAGCAGAGUUUGAUGAAACCGGCAGUAUAUCUCACGAAAAACAGAUCCAAGUGAUUUACCAGUGUUUGGAUAGCACAAAGAUCCGGCAAUAUGUCCCAUACUUUUAAAACUUGCAUGUAUCUCAAAUGUUUUAUGAUGUCAGUUGAGCAAAGAAUAUAUAACCCUUGAACUUUGAACUUCUUCACAACCAUCGAAGAGGUAACACAAACUAUUUCAGCAUUACGUUUCGUACCUCUCCAGCCAGUUGAUAGCUUAAGUAGCAAACUGACUACAGACAACUUUGUUCGGAUUGACGUCAGUCGAUUGAACGACUUCAGAAAGUUAUCACUGAAAGUCACCUAGAAAAAUUGAGCUUUUCUUAAAUACUUACAAAAACAAGUACUUUGAAAAUUAAAGACGAAUUAAAGCUGGGAAAAUAGAAGCAGAGUACUGAAGCUUGUACCUUCCAUCUAGCAUGAGUAGCAUCUGUGCACAUGUGCAUAGCUUUCCAUAUUCUCAUGUUUGGUGCUAUAUUCUCCAAGUAAAUGAUAAACAGUGGUGUCUGAAUGCCACUGUUGAUAUCAAACUCUUUCGAUGCUUUGACUCUAAAACGAAGACAAGUAGUAUUAUCCUCGCUCUGAUCUAUUGGGAAUAAUUCAGUGGCUAUUAGAAACACCCAUGAUCUCCCUUCCUUUAGUAGAUCAGAAACAGUUUCAGGUUUAGCAUCAGCUAAAAUGAAAAGAUCACCGGGCCUAGUUUCGUAUGGCUCUUUACUGACAUUGUUUCUCCAACAAUCAACUUUGACAUCACAUAGCUUAUUUCUUGCGCAUGCUUCAAUAGAUAUUACCUUACCAAACGGUGCUCCAUGGAUAGUUUCCACCUUGGAUUGCAACUCAGAUCGAGUUUCAUCUAACAAUGGAUAUAUGUAAGAACCAAAAUAUUGUAGUAGGUCCGACCCAAAUGAUUGAGGACUCUUUCCCAAUCCGGCAACCUACAAAUAUUGUUCGAAUCGAAGGCAGAUCAUAUCAGUAAAACAUGUGUAUCAGUAACGAGUGAUGCAUGUUUCAUCUCUUAGAACAAAUCAAGUACGCUCUGUACUAAACUAGAGAUCGACAUGCACAAUUAUAUUAUACCUUAACAGAAGAAAUAAAACGAUCAAGGAGUUAGGUUGACAUGCAAACUCAUUUCCAGACUAGGCAUAUUCCACAAAAUCUCAUCAAAUUUUUAAGGGGGAGUAACAGAGACGAGGAUGAGCAAGAGAGGUAACUGAAUGUGUGUGUGUAAAACAUUUUACCUGGUGCUGGUAAAAAUUUUCAUUGAGAAUAUCCUCCAGAGACCAAGAAAACACAACAUCAACGAAGCUAUCAGAAGACGACUCAAAACCCUCCAUCAUGAUCCCCAGACUCUCUUAAUGCCUCAAUUACUGCAUCUAACUAUGAGUAUGAAAGAGAGAAAUGAGACGACUCUGCAUGUAAUAUUUCUUCCCUGUUGUACUUGCUUCUUCACUUUUUCUCCUUUUUAUCCUCUCUACUGUUCUUCUUUUCUUUUUCUCCUUUCUUUUUUUUUACAAAAAAAUUUAAUUGAGAGCUAAAUUACGCUACACCAUCAUCAUCAAGGCAAACUUAUAACCUCAACCUUAAAAACCUAACAGUGGACAAGUACAUAUUACACCAGCCUUUAGAUAUGAAUUUCCACAAAACCAAUAAGAUCUAUUAGUAAUAAAGAUCGAAUUUAAAUAAUAAGAUCUUCGUCAGAAACCGUCUUUACCAACUGAGCCAAUUUACUGAGCCAAGUUGGCUUCUUUUUCUCCUUUCUACUUUCUUCUUUUCUUUUUCUCCUUUCCACUUUCUUCUUUUCUUUUUUCUCCUUAAUGGCCUUUUUUAUGUUCAUCUUAACUGAGGCUUAAUUGUUAUAACUUGUGAGUGACUGAGUACUGGAGAAAUGGAAAAGGCGCGUGCGGUUGGAUCACCAUCCCGACCAACACGUGGAGAGCUAGAACCUCAAGGGCUAGCUAGGGUUCUGGUUUAGACAAGUGACGUCACCAGACCAUACUGCAAAAGUAGAGCGCUAUAAUUAGUGGCAGUAGAAGUGAAAGGUGGAGAGUAAAGCGUUUCGUGUUCGCGGAGUGAAUUUUCAAAUUCCGAGAAUCCUUUUUCUCGAAAGGCACAUAGAGUAGGAGAAGAACUGAAGCUUUAAGCAAUCUCAACAUAUUGGGCUCUAUUUGGGAAAGCCAAAAGGGCCUGAGACAACCUCUAAAUGGGCCCAAUGAAGUCAAGAGAAGCCCAAGCUGGGCAGCCUUGUAGAUUCUAUUAGGCACAAGCAAAACAAUACAAAAGAAACUCAUUAGAUGAAAGUCGUGAGAAAGUUGUGAGAUUGCACAUUUGCAUGAAAGUUGUCUGACAAAUUCAAUGUGUCUUGCUAGUUUUUUUUAAUGAAAAAGGUCAUACUCUAUUAACUAGGGCUGGCAAUUUAGGUCAUAUCGAAACCAACCAACCGUACCAACCUAGUUAAUAUACUAAAAACUUGGUAACCGACUUACUUGAUACGGUAUACCGUACCAAUUUUGGUAACAUGGUUGUUACUUGGUAUUGAGAUUUUCAUACAGUCGGUAUACCGUACCAACCAUGUAUGUAUAAUUAUGUAAAAAUACACUUAUAUCUAUGUAGGAAACGAGAAUUGAACCUCUAACCUUUUACAAACAAUCUAUAAAAUGUAUAAUAUAUGUAAAGAAAAUUAAAAUAUAUGUAUAAUAUAUAAUAUAUGUUUUGUUUUAUAGCUAUAACAUGCUAUAGAUAUAAAUACAAUUAAAUUAUAAAGUGUUUAAAUUUUAGCAAGAGGUAUGUUUCGAAAUCAUGACUGCUCUGAUGAAAAAUAUGACCACAUACCAUCAGACCAAAGCUAUCAUUGAAUUAUAUUUGUGAAAAAAUUAUGUUUAUCACUUCAUUUUUUGGGCCACAAUCUAAACUUGGUAGAGACUUAUUACCAACCGUACCAACCGUACCAAUUAAGUCGGUAUACCAACUUCGGUGGUUGGUUUUGGUAGAGGAUUUUGUCUACCAAUCAUAAGUUAGUUGGUACAUGGUAUUAAUAAAUAAAGUCGGUAUACCUACCAAUGAGUAAGCAGUAAAAAAACGAUCUCCCAAUGGGGUUCACAGAAAGAACCAUUAUGUAUAAACUAUUACAAAUUCAUCCAAAAAGAGUAAACUAAACUAGUAAUUUCUAAUACACCCACCUUCUUGUAUGAAACCCAUAACAAAAUGAAUGAAAACCCCGACUAAUAAAAGUUUCCCCAAAUGAGGUCACCGAGGUCUUUCUUCCUUAUGCGAUCUCUCCCACUCAAAUCGAGAUAAUAAAAAACUCAUUAUCCAUUGGUAAAAAGAGAUGUGAGCUGAAAACAAAAAUAAAAAUAAAAACAAAACAAUAACUACCCAAGAAGAAAACCCUAAGAGUCAUCCCUGACCAAGCUUUGCCACCGUCAAUCCCUACCCAAGCUGAAGCCGCCGCCGCCGCCGCUACCGUGCUCACACUGUGAAACCCGACACCAGCAACCAACCCAAGCUCACGAUUUUGCCCUCUAAGUUUAUCAAUAAUGCGCCAUCAUACUUUAAUUAGUUUAGGAGAGUUUGAGAUAUCUUUGUCAUCCUGGGCCAACGACCCAUUAACAAACCAGCCCAAACCCGACCGAAGAAACCUAAUCCAUCUAUCAUUUCGUUAUCUAUCUUUCACGCUCUCAUAGAAAUCUUGAACCCUAAGAAGAAAAAAAUAUGGCUUCUGCAACCGAAACGAGCUCCCAGCAAGAUGUGAAAAAACUGACCUUCUCCUUUGAGAAUCUCGGCACCUCUUCUCCCGGUAUGAAUUUUUUCGUUCAAUUUUUCUCGUAUGUUUUGGGAUUUUUCAACAGUUUGUUGCGAAUGUUUUUGAUAAAAAUAUGAUUAAUGAUUGUGAAAAAUAUCUGUUACUUUAUAACCUCAGAUCUGAAAGUUGUUGUUGUUGCUCUUGUCAGGUACAAAGAAACCGUUGAGUUCCAGCAGCGAUGGUUUUUUUCUCAUCUUAUGUUUUGAGAUUUUCUGCUUAAUUCGUUCCCGUUUAGUUUAUUAAUUUGUUUCCUAUGUUAGAAUUAUAUUAGUGAUAUCGUUGUUAUAUUGUACUUGUUAUAUUCGUUCCCAUUCAAGAUUCUUAUUUAUUUUAUCUUUUAUGGGUAUCUAACAAUGGAACUGAAACAAACAGGCUCCUAUCCUCCCAUCCCGUUCAGGUCGGAGUUCAUAGUGCCGGAUCCUGAGGUGAACUACAAACAAACAGCCGCCUAUAUUCGAGUGGGGGGUGAAAAUUCUUACUUAGACAUGUCCCAGUUCAUAGUGACUGGNNNNNNNNNNNNNNNNNNNNUACAUACCCACCUAUUCUCCUUUUGGCUUAAGGUCCGUGGCGGGUGAAGGUGCUUAUAGUGAAGAAAGUCGACCAAGUGUGCCUUGCGAUGAGUGUUCUAAGGAGCACCCCACUUAUUCUCGUUGCCCUUACUUGCCUUGUGACCUUUGUCAUCAGCGUCACCACCCUUCUUAUUGCCCUGCCGUGCCUUGUAAAAUUUGUUAUCAGCAUCUUCACCCCACUUCUAGUUGCCCUUACCCCUCCUCCAUUUCCCACAGGGUGCAACUUUUGACCAUCUCAACUAUGAAAUAAUUUGUGCAUGUGGUAAUCACUUCAAUGUGGAUAAGUGGGUUUGUACCUUUUGUACUAGGAGUAUACCUGUGCUUAAGAAGAAGUAUUGUUCCAUUUGUAAUAGUAGCUACGUACAGCACAGCACACAUGAAUGCCCAAAGGACGAGGUUCUUGCUGCUGAGUAUAAAUCGGUUAGAGACCAUCGUCUUUCAGUCGGGGCCAAAGUGAUUCCCUAUGACGAGGGUUCUCUGUGAGCAUCAUCAGGAACUGUGUCAAUUCCUCCUUCCGGGUUUGUGGACACAUGCAUGAAAGAUGGCAAGUUUAUUGUGUUCACCAAAUAAGCUUCAAUUACUUGUUUGCUUUUCUUGAAAAUAGACUGGUUGAACCAGAGGGGAUUUGGUUAAUGUAAGGUUAAUGCGACUUUAAUUAAAGACACCUUGAGAACUUGUUAAUAUCUGAAAUGUUUUUCUAUUUACUAUGUCCUGUAGGAUUUGCGUUUUUUGUUUGUUAUUGUCUUUCUAUGAUUAUGAUUGAACUCAGCCACUCAGGUGCUAUGAAGGUUAUGGAUUAUUAUUAUUAUUUUUUUUUCCCGCAGUUGGGAAAUAAUUUGUUGGUAGCUGUUCUCUGAUAUGUUCCCUCCUUUAUACAUCUAAGAGCACAUCAAAACACAUCCCAUAAUUCAUAUGAAGCAAAGUCAUCCACUCUGAUAAACCUUUUCAUCCAUUGAAUUUUGGUUUUUCUUAUUUUGGUUUUUGUUAUCGCUCAUAAACUCUUGGAUUUGUUUAAAAGAUAUCAGCACGUCUGCCUGUGUUUGGUACCUCUAUUCUGCAUCAACCAUUCAAUGAAACUUGAUUUGGUAGUGACAACAUUACCUUAGAAGUAGGAUACCAGCAUCAGAAGGUGUUCAAUAAGAUACGAGAAACAAUUAGGUCCAAUGUAGUCAAAAACUUCCUCCAGUUUGCAUGAUAGGUUUCAACCAAAGCUUGAUGCAACUGCCUGACAAGAAACACCUCCCUUCUUUUCUCCGAUGGCAUUCCCACACAUAAGGCACUCCCACACAUAAUCAGAAAUAACAACUCCCAUGCCCGACUACAUUUCAAAUGUUCUCGAGACAAUCCCGGACCCUGGAAUAACCUACAUGUUAGUCUACCGCGUUCACUUCUAUUGUUAUGCAUAGCUAGCUGGCUGAAUCAAAUGCUCAGGUGUUCUUCCCUAGGAAAAGCUCGGGAGAAUGAUCACUGCUGCUCUUCGAAGACACUAUAGCAUCUGCCCUCGAAUCCCUUAUCAUGCUCAAAACCUUUCUCAUUGUAGGUCUAGUUCUCUGGUGUAAUCGAAACACAAGCCAUUGCAAUAUUAAGAAGCGCCUGAAGUUUCUCCUCUGAUGCCUCAUCGCCAGAGCUGACAGGUUCUGUCUCCUCGCGAACUGAACGAACCCAUCUAGGAAUGUCUUGAGUCAUGUUCAAGUAGAGGCAAUAUUCAUGUACCCUUUCUUUUCCACACCAAGUUCAGUUUCUCGCUCCUUACUGCAUGCAAAUGAUGCAAUCCUCCUCCAUCAACCAUUUCAGCCCCUAACAUAUACAUUAAGAUUAAUAAUCCAACUCUCAACCAAUUUAGUGCCCCAAGUAGGAUCAAAGCAUGCUACCUUAAUCCAAAUUCCAAGUAAACCCUCCACAAAGUACUUCGGCUGUUCCUUCAUUGAAUUUGAAAGCUCUGAGUUCCUUAAUCAAAUAAAAUUCAUCGCAAAUCAGAAACGAGGUCUCAAUUUGGCCUUAACAAAAAGAAUUAGAUGGUCCACACGCCGCGGCGUUUGCCGGAGUUGAAAGUCUGAAUCAUGGUGUUUCGAGUAAACCAGAGCCGCUGACUUCACCAUGGUAGUUUAGAUGUGGCCGGAGAAGGUGAAUCGAUCCUUCCUUGCGGCGAAGGGGCGUACGUGGUCAUCCGGCAUCGGGGGUGGCUGAAGGCUUUGAGGAUCGCAUAUGGCUGCAUGUGAGGUUCAGAUUAGGUUUUGGUCGGUUUGGAAGUCUGUUUCAAUGCGAGGUGGCGGUGACAAGAGGUGGAGGCGGGGAGCUGCAGAACUUUAAAAACGCAUAAAAAAUAGCUUGGGUUGGGCUUGUUUUUUGGUAGGCCUAGCUAUUUAGGAUUUAAUUUUUUUUUUUUUUAGGUUUUCAAUCUGUUAGCGUGAAACUUGUGUAACCCCUCUGCGUAGAGUGGUUCAGGUUGCGCUUGGUUUUGUUCUUUUAAGUUUCAUCACAUGGUGAUUACAUUAAGUUAUUUUAAGGUAUCUCUACAUGGCUUAAUUCUCAUGUGACCUUUCUAGGGCAAGUUAUGUAUAUGUAAUCCCAUUAUUUACUGAAUACAAAGCCGUACGUUAUUUUUAGCUAUCUUGGGCCAACGACCCAUUAAGCUUAUAAUAGAUGGAUCCACAAUUGAAAUAACAAAGCAGCCCAAACCCGACUGCGAUCUGCGAUCUCCGUAUCUCAGUUUCUCACUAUCAGACUGAGAUAGUAUCAGUCUCUGCCAAAUGCGAGGUCUCCGCCGUCGCCCGUCGAUUGUCGUUGACCGUCGUCAUCGUCUCCCGUCCCUGCCGCUCGCCGAGAUGGAUGGGUGUCUGCUUGAGAUCGAGGUUGGCUUCGAAGGAGGAGAAGUUCUCAUACAGCGGCGAGGUCGGCUUCAAGGGAGGCAUGACAUAUCUUGCAGAGGAGAUCGCCGAUGUGUUGAGAUUGAGAUUUAAAAGUUGAAUUGAGAUUUUUAUUUUGAGAGGAACUACCGCAACCAAAACGAGCUCCCAGCAAGAUGAGAAAAAACUUACCUUCUCCUUUGAGAAUCUCGCUGCCUCUUCUCCCGGUAUGAAUUUUUUCGUUCAAUUUUUCUCGUAUGCUUUGGGAUUUUUCAACAGUUUGUUGCGAAUGUUUUUGAUAAAAAUAUGAUUAAGGAUUGUGAAAAAUAUCUGUUACUUUAUAAUCUCAGAUGUGAAAGUUGUUGUUGUUGCUCUUGUCAGGUACAAAGAAACUGUUGGGUUCCAGAUCUGGAAGAAGCGAUGGAAAAGGCUACACGGCAUCCGAUGGUUCUAGGUUUUUUUUUUUCCUCAUCUUAUGUUUUGAGAUUUUCUGCUUAAUUCGUUCCCGUUUAGUUUAUUAAGUUGUUCCCUAUGUUAGAAUAAUAUUAGUAAUAUCAUUGUUAUAUUGUAUCUGAUAGAGAUCUGAAAUUUGUUUCUCCCUGCCGUGUGGAUCAUAGUUGAAAACUCUGCUAUUGAAUCUAACUUUUGUUUUGGUUAGUAAAUUUGAGAUUGCUUUCUCUACUAUGUGCUUUAUUGCUUUUAUUACAAUCUGGUGUUUGUGUAAUUGGCUUUUACAAACCCCUAUGCGUGGAUUUGUUGCUGGAAUUUAUGUAAAUUUUGGUAAAGCUAGAUUCAAAAGUGAUAUCCCAGGACUUAUUUAAUUGGUAUAAUGUUGCAUAAAGUCAUACAAUCAUUUAAGAUUCUGAUUUUCUUAUCUUUUAUGGGUAUCUAACAACGGAACAUAAACAAACAGGCUCCUAUCCUCCCACCCCGUUCAGAUCGGGGUUCAUAGUGCCGAAUCCUGAGGUGCACUAUAAACAAACAGCUGCCUAUAUUCGAGUGGGGGAUGAAAGUUCCAAAGAGCUAGCCAAGUUUGAAGGACCCGGAGUACCUUAGUGUGCAUGAGAGCAACACUGAGGCUGAGCUUACUAAGUAUUUCAUGGGAUCAUGUCACGGGACCACAGUUUUUUGGAUACGCCGUUCGCCAACAGAGCUACUAGUUGGUGUUGAUUCACUAGAGAGUCAAACAUAUACAGGUACAUUCAAAUUGCUUUAUGUAUAUGUAUAUGUUUAAGUGAGACUUAAUAAUGUUCACGUAUUUAUGUUUGAUUUCUAGUGGUUAAUCCAAAACAUAAGAGAAAAAAUUAUGAGCUUUCAUGAUCAAAAGUUUAUAGAGAUUGUUCCAAAUGUUUAUGUCACUCUAUGUGGAGAUGCUAGAAGAUGAAGGACUAUGUCAAUGAACAAAUGAAAGAGCAUAACAAAAAAAGUCAAAUGUCAUUUACUGUUGCUCAAGUUGGCAGGGUUUCCAUUGAGUAUUUUUAUGAGUCUCCAUUGGAUCCUGUAAAGGAGCACAUUUCUUUAGUUCACUUAUGUUUUUGGAUUCCUGAUAAACAUGUAUGUGUUUUGAUAUAGAUUUUUGUUUGUGAAUUUAAUCUAUAACCAAUUUUUGAAAUAUCUCAUAGACAUAUAUUGAGUGUUAAACCUUGGGUGAAUAUAUGUCUAUGAGGUAUUUCAAAAUUGGUUAUAGAUUAAAAUUCACAAACAAAAAUCUAUAUCAAAACACAUACAUGUUUAUCAGGAAUCCAAAAACAUAAGUGAACUAAAGAAAUGUGCUCCUUUACAGGAUCCAAUAGAGACUCAUGAAAGUACUCAAUGGCAACCCUGCCAACUUGAGCAACAGUAAAUGGCAUUUGACUUUUUUUGUUAUGCUCUUUCAUUUGUUCAUUGACAUAGUCUUUUAUUUUCUAGCAUCUCCAUAGAGUGGCAUAAACAUUUGGAACGAUCUCUAUAAACUUCUGAUUAUGAAAGCUCAUAAUUUUUUCUCUUAUAUUUUGGAUCGACCAUUGGAAAUCAAACAUAAAUACGUGAAUAUUAUUAAGUCUCACCUAAACAUAUACAUAUACACAAAGCAAUUUGAAUGUACCUGUAUAUGUUUAACUCUUUAGUGAAUCAACACAAACUAGUAGCUUUGUUGGUGAACGGCGCAUCUAAAACACGGGUGGUCCCGUGACAUGAUCCCAUGAAAUACUUAGUAAGCUCAGCCUCAGUGUUGCUCUCAUGCACAAAGGUACUCCCGGGUCCUUCAAACUUGGCCAGCUCUUUGGAACUUCUAGAUCGCUGAUCACAAAACACAGGGAGACCAAUAAUUAGAUAAAAAAUAUGUAUAUUAUAUCACUGCUAAGAGUAGAGUCAUUAUUUCAUGGACGAAAAGACGCUGAUUUUCUGGAAGGUAAAAUGACAUACCCCUUGAGACAUUUCUCCUUACACAGAUUAAUAUACUCAUCUGUAUAUUUGUUUAAUAUAUUGUCCAUGCGAUCCAACACUGGGAUGUCCUCUAUAGGCAUUAUGUCCCAAAUCUUCAAUACUUGAAUGUAUCUUAAAUUCUUUGCUAUGUCUGUUGUGCAAACAAUAUAUAGGUCUUCAACCUUAAAUUUCUUCAGGUUCAGUGAAGAGUUACCACAAAGUAUAUCUGAACUUUGCAUCACUGGCAAGCUUUAGUAGAACAUUUAGCACUGACUGACUUCAGUUUCUUGAAUGACUUCAAAAAGUCAUCGCUAAAAAGUACCUGAAGAUUUAUUAUAGAGCAGAACAUCCAAUUUCAGAAACUUUUGAUAUAUGCAAUCAGGUUCUUAGAAAAUUAGGGUCGAUCAAGAAGUAACAAAAAUCAAUAUCUUCAAUUACCUUCCAUCUAGCUCUUCUUGAAAGUACACUGUCAGAAUUUAGCAAAUCAUCUAGUUGGUCGAACUGUUUCUUCAGUUGUAGUAUGGCCUUUUGGCUAAAUCCUCGUCUUCAUCAGCAUUAAAAAAGCAUUGGCGAUUUUUGGCAUCAAGAACCAAGGCCUCCCAAACAGACUCGCUGUCACAGAGUUUUUUCACUCCUCAAAAUCCACAGGCAGUGCCUGAAAACCUCAGAGAAUCAGUAGUUAUUUCCAUCAAGCUAUUACACCGGCUUAUGUAAAACAUACCUUGCCCUUUGUAAGAGCAACAUUAAUUAUCCGCGGUUUUGAAAUAUACUCAAGUGACUGUUGACAAUUGGAUCGUACAGUGGAAAAUAUAAUGAUGUCCUCUUCCCAACCCUGGAACCCGUCAACUGUCUUCACUUUCACUAUGAAUCCAUGAUCCAUCAAGAUUAUUAUAUUUCCGUCCAAGUUUGUCCUCGAUUGCCUCUACUUGAGCAGCAUAUGGAGAAAUUACACCAUUACUCUGAUUCUGUUUUGAAUCAACCCGUUCUGUUUACAAAGAGAAAACGGAAAGCGAUCAAUUGUCAUUAUGAGAAGAUAAAGGUGAUAGAAUUUCUACAGUUAUGUGCUCGUUUGAGAAAAUGAUUAGAGGAAUUAUACUGCCACAUGCUUAAUGGGUCAAAAUCUGCAUUUCUACUAAAGGAUUAUGAUAGAUAAAUAAAUAAACCAUAUACCAUGAUCAUGCAUCAGAAGAAGAAAAAGGAAAAAAAAAAAAAAACUAAUUCAGUCUUGUAAACUAUAUAUAUUGACCACCUAAAAUGGUACCAGUCCCACCAUAAACCAUCUGCAUUUCUAUUGCAAUGGCUUGUGUUUCGAUUACGAUUACACCAGAGAACAGACCUACAAUGAGAAAGGUUUUGAGCAUGAUAAGGGAUUCGAGGGCAGAUGCCAUAGUGUCUUCGAACAGCAGCAGUGAUCAUUCUCCGGGGAAAUGGUCAGAUACUGUUCAGAGCUUUUCCUAGGGAAGAACACCUGAGCAUUUGAUUCAGCCAGCUAGCUGUGCAUAACAAUAGAAGUGAACGCGGUAGACUAACAUGUAGGUUAUUCCAGGGUCCGGUAUUGUCUCGAGAACAUUUGAAAUGUAGUCGGGCAUGGGAGUGGUUAUUUCUGAUUAUGUGUGGGAGUGCCUUAUGUGUGGGAAUGCCAUCGGAGAAAAGAGGGAGGUGUUUCUUGUCAGGCAGUUGCAUCAAGCUUUGGUUGAAACCUAUCAUGCAAACUGGAGGAAGUUUUUGACUACAUUGGACCUAAUUGUUUCUCGUAUCUUAUUGAACACCUUCGGAUGUUGGUAUACUACUUCCAAGGUAAUGUUGUCACUACCAAAUCAAGUUUCAUUGAAUGGUUGAUGCAGAACAGAGGUAUUAACAAAUCCUUGAAUUUUGGGAUGUGAUUUGAUGUGCGAGGGAACAUAUAUAUCACCGAACAACUACCAACAGAUUAUAGUCCCAACUGAGGCUAAAAAAAAUAAAAAAAAACAAAACAAAACAAAUCCACAACAUCGAGCGGGGUUAGCAACUUAUAGCACCAAAGCAAUUCCAUAGAAAAACAAACAAACAAAUCCUACAGAAGAUAGUAAAUAGCAAAUUUCAGAUACUGUUAGAGGUGCCUUUAAUUACAGUGGCAUUAACCUUACAUUAACCAAAUCCUCUCUGGUGCAACCGGUCUAUUUUCCAGAAAAGCAAACAAAAACUAAUCGGAAGCUUAUUCCGUAAACACAGUAAACUUGCCAUCUUUCAUGCAUGUGUCCACAAACACAGGAGUUGAAACAGUUCCUCAUGGUGCUCUUAGAGAACAGACCACAUCAUAUGGAAUCAUGUUUGCCCUGACAAAGAUAAUGGGUCUCUAAUUGAUUUAGACUCGGCAGCAAGAACCUUGUCCUUGGGGCAUUCAUGGGUGCUGUGCUGUUUCCAGCUACUAUCACAAAUGGAACAAUACUUACGCUUCAGCAGUGCUCUUCUCCCAGUACAAUAGGUACAAACCCACUUUUCCUCAUUAAAUUCAUUACCACAGCAACAAAAUAUUUCAUAGUUGUCACGGUCAAAAGCUGCACCCUGUGGGAUAAGGCGAAAGUAAGGGCAAUAAAAGGUAUGGUGAAGAUACUGAUAACAAACUUCACAAGGCACGCUAGGGCAAUAAUUAGGGUAGUGACGGUCGUGACAAAUAUUACAAAGCACGUAAGGGCAAGAAGGACAAGGAGGGUGCUCCUUAGAACACUCAUUGCAAGGCACACAUGGUCUUUUGUGUUUAUAAGCACCUUCGCCCGACACUGGUCCUCUGAUCACAGACCCCAAGACAUCAGGAAUAUCGGUUGCUGUUUGUUUGCAGUUCAUCACCUUAGAACCCUCAUCCUCAUUAAUGCGAGACAAUGCGAACUGGGACAUGUCUCUGUAAAAAUCAUCUUCACCCCCCAUUGGAACAUAGGCGGCUUUUUGUUCGCGGUUCACCUUAGAAUCCUCAUUGUAAGGCCCCAUGAACUCUGACCUGAAUGGGACGGGGGUAUAGGAACCUGUUUGUUUCAGUUCCAUUGUUAGAUACCCAUAAAAGAUAAGAAAAUAAGAAUCUUAAAUGGUUGUAUAACUUUAUGCAACAAUAUAAGUACUGGUAUGUGUGUGUGUCCCUAUUAUAUAUCUGUCUUAUCAGUCAUGACUCAUGAGUACGUCUAGCUUUGCUAAACGUACAUUACAUAAAUUCCCGGAACAAAGUCGAGCAUAGGGGUUUGUAAAAGCCAAUUACACACGUACGUACACCAGGUUGUAAUAGGAGCCAGAAAGAACAUAGUAGAGAAAGCAAUCUCAACAUUAUAACUACUAUGAUCCACAUAUGCAGCAGGGAGAAACAAAUUAACAAGACAAAUUUCAGAUCUCUCUCAAAUACAAUAUAGCGGGAUAAAAUCACAGUUACUAAUAGUAUUCUAACACAAGGAACAACUUAACAAACUAAACGGGAACGACUUAAGCAGAAAAAACCUCAAAAGAUAAGAUAAGAAAAAAACCUGAACCAUCGGAUGCUGUGUAGCCUUUUCCAUCGCUGCAUUCAGAACUGGAACUGAACGGUUUCUUUGUAUCUGACAAGAUCUAAAUUCCGGAUUAGCAACAACAAUUUUCAGAUUGAAUUCGAAAGUAACACAUACUUUCACAAUCAUUAAUCAUAUUUUCAUCAAAAACCACGAAAUAGGGUUCCCUUGAGCAGAGACAGUUUUUAACAAACUGUUAUUUGAAAACAAACGGGUAAGAAGCAAACGAACCCUAAAAAAAGAAGAAGAUAGAGUAUAACUUGUUUCAGAUCACAGCAAAAUUAUACGAAAAGAGUUCAUACCAGGAGAAGAGGCGUCGAGAGUCUCAAAGGAGAGGGCUAACUUUUUUACAUCUCCCUGAGAGCUCGCGUCGGAUGCAGCCAUACUUUCUAGGGUUUCGAUUCAAUUAGAGCGCCAAAGAACAAUGCUAAUGCCUAAAGGGUUUCUUACGCCUUUUGUUUCCAAGAUCGCAGUGGGCCGGGUCAAGUCGCACGGUUUGGGCCGGGUUCUUCAAUUUCCGAAUACCAAUAUGUUCCCCCGCCCUGAAAUGUCCAAGUGUCUAACUGUUAUUGGCUCACAAGAUUUACACGCAUGGCAGAAAUCCACUGGGAUAAGGUAUAUAUAGACACACAUGACUUUGAGUUCUUCCUCUGUUCAUUCAAACCUUAUCUCUCCAAUGGCCAUCUCCAGUUCUUCUCCAAGUUCUGGAGACUGGUCAUCUUUGCCUUCUUUCAUAUCUUGCAGAAAAUCCCACAAAACACACAACCUCCAUUCCUUCUUUUCCAUUCCCAGAUGGACCAAUCUUCGAGCUAAUUUCCAAGUCAUCAACUCCUCUAGCUGCCCUUCUCCAAUUCUCGAAGAUCAAUCAUCGACCAACUUGUCACUCAUAGACCUGAAACUUCAACAACAUCAGACCCCGGAUGCCGGAAAGUUGAAUGAAUUCCUAUGUGAGCUGUUUCAAGAUCCAGAGAAGGAAGCAAUGGGGUAUGAACAGUAUGAGAAGGCCAAGAAGGUCGCAGAAUUCAGACCAAACAAGUCAACAUUGGAGCAUGUAACGAGGUAUUUGGUACGAUCCAAGAAAUGGGAUUCAAUUCUUUCGGUUUGUACUGAUUUCAAGACUUAUGAUUUGCUGCCUGAUAGAUAUACAUGUUCUAGAUUGGUUACUAGCUGCAUUAGAGCUAGGAAGUUCAAGGUUGUUAGGACUUUGCUUCAAGUGUUUAAGUCUGACGGCGAUGUUGCUCUGCCGGCCUUGGAUUCCGCAAUGAGAGGCUACAAUGAGCUUCAUAUGUAUAGAAGUACAAUGUCUGUGUUUGAAGAAAUGAUAUCUGCUGGAAUUGGACCGGAUUCCGGGUGUUAUUGUAGGAUAAUGGAAGCUUAUUUCAGAAAAGGUGACCAUAAAAAAGUUGUUGAGUUAUUUCAGGAUUUGAAAAGUAGGCAAUUAGAUUUGACACCAUUGUCAAUUCAGAUUCUAUGCCAAUCUUUAGCCAAAUUGGGGAAGCCUCUAGAAGCUCUAGAGAUUUUUCGAAGUGUGACAAAGGAAGGCGUUUCUUUAGACUCUUCAAAGAUAUAUUCUGUUUUGAUUAGUUCAUUUGCGAGCAUUCGAGAUGUGAAGGUGGCUGAAGAGCUAUUCAAAGAAGCAGAAACCAAGAAAAUGUUGAGGGAUCCGACGGUGUUUUUGAGACUGAUCACAAUGUAUGUUGAAGAAGGGUUGCUGGAUAUGACUCUUGAAGUAGUUAAGGCAAUGAAGGGUGCAAAUAUCAGAGUUUCGGAUAACAUAUGUUGCGCAGUUGUGAGUGGCUUCUCCCGGAAAAGCACGCUUCUGAAUGCAGUUAAAGUGUUUGAAGAUUUGAUCUUAAUGGGAUGUGAACCCGGGCAGGUAACAUACGCUUCAGUAAUCAAUGUGUAUUGUCGUCUUGGGCUUUAUUCUAAGGCUGAGAUGGUAUUUAGGGAGAUGGAAGAAAAAGGAUUUGAUAAAUGUGUGGUGGCGUAUUCAAGCAUGGUUGUUAUGUAUGGGAAGACAGGAAGGCCAAGAGAGGCAAUGAGGCUUGUCGCCAAGAUGAAAGAAAGAGGGUGUAAGCCAAAUGUGUGGAUCUACAAUUCUUUGAUGGAUAUGUAUGGAAGGGAUAAUAAUACGAGGCACGUUGCAAAGCUAUGGAGCGAAAUGAAGAGAAGGAAGGUUGCACCAGAUAAGGUGAGUUACACUACUGUUAUAGGUGCUUAUAACAAGGCAGGGGACUUUGAAAUGUGCCUGAGGUUUUACAAUGAGUAUAGGAUUCAUGGUGGUGUUUUGGAUAAGACCAUGGCUGCAAUGAUGGUUGGGGUUUUCUCCAAGAGUGGUCGAGUUGACGAGUUAGUGAAGCUUCUGCGAGAUAUGAAAGCAGAAGGAACAGGACUAGACGUGAGGCUUUAUCGGUCUGCCUUGAAUGCUUUGGCAGAUUCUGGUCUGGAAAUGCAGGUGAAAUGGUUGCAAAGUAGCUUUGAGGUGACAUAGAAAUAGAGGGCUUGAUUGUAUAGUGUACAAAAUCCCAGUGCUUGGCGAAGGCACUCGUUCAAGUAUGUUCUCUACUAUUAGAACCUCGGGAGUUCUUUGUAUUGGAAAUUGAAAUUGCAUAUAGAAAAAUUUGUUAUACUCCCAUCAUUUUCAUGUAGGUAACUGAUAUUUGAAUGUGGAAUAUACACUUAAAAGUACAAUUUUAUCGUCUUCAAUAACUUUAAAUUUCUUUAGAAGAUCCGGGAAGAACUUAUUUUCAUAUCCAUGGAAUUUAUUUUAUAAACUACAAACAUAUAAAGCACCGUAUAAGUUUUACAAUUGAAUGAAUCAAUGGAACAAGACAUUGCUCUUUUUCGUUGCUUUGCUGCUGACACUCUGGCGUAUGAAGGCUCAGAUUUCAGUUGAGAGCACUACAAAUCCUUCUUAUCUGCCCAUUUGAGCCAGUGAGAGGGUUAAUGUCUCCCAUCUUGAUCAUGGCAGCCGCAAAAUCAGCCUUGAAGUUUGCAGGUUUGGAGCUAUACUCCGAGACAAUGCUGUCUGUGGAUCCUCCACUAAAGAGAACUUGAUCGGAUGCAAGAAGACCCUUCUUCUGGAUCAAGUUCUUGAAGUAGUUGUUGUCCAGUUGAUUUGGUGUCACCAAAUCAAGUGCUGCCAAAUUUGCAUCACCAUCAUUAGCUGCUGCGGGACAAGUACGUCCGCGAGUACGAGCAAAGUUAGCAUCAAUGUCACUGGUGUUGCUGUAGAUUCUUCCGCGGAAUGUGAAGCACUGAGCUUGUCCGAUGGAAUGUGCACCUGAGAGCGCAACCAAGUCUCUGGCAUUGAGGCCUAAACCAGCAAACCUGUUAGUAAGGCUUUCAAGGCUGUCUAAGAAACUGGGAAGCGAGCUUCCAGCUAGGCUUUUGCUUGCUGUGGUCGAAUCCCUUCUUCCAAGCUUCACCGACCAGUCUGGACCUCCAACCUAUAUGUAUACAUAUUAUCAGUUCCAACAAGUAGAACAAGGGAAGCUAGAAGUUGGUGAACAAAAAAAUGAAUGAAUCAAGUACUCACAGCAACUGAAGCAUCCCUAGCAGCCACAGCGACGAUAUCUGCACAAGAAACUACACCAGGACAUAGUUUCUCCACUUCAGAUUUGGCAUUAUCUAUGACUCCAUAUCCUCUCACAGAGUUCAGAUUAGGCGGUGCGGUCUUUUCGCCUGUGAUGGAAGAAGUAUCGUCAAGUAAGAUUGACGCAUCACAACCCUGAAAACACAUGAGUACUGCACCGUAAGUUAUAGCUCAAAACGAAAGGCAUCAUUUAGUUGGUUAUAUUUAUAGGUUAAUUAGUACCUGAACAAAGCAGUCAUGGAAAUGCAGGCGGAUUAGGGAGGCUGCCAUCCGACGUUCAGCUGAGACUGCUGAUCGUAUGGAUUUUCUGAUCGUAGCGAGAGCGUUUGGACAUGCGUUGUCAUAAAAUGUUGAGGAGGAGAGCUGAGCUGAGCUUGUUGUGCUCAUCAGGGCAAGCAACAGCAGCAGUGCAAUAGAGGCAACAUUUACAUUUGAACUAAAAGACUUCAUCAUUGAACUUGAAAGUAAAAACUCCCCUACUCAAUACCAAAACCAAUUUACGUUUUGGAUGUGUAAAAACUUGUACUCGAAGCAACUAAUUUAAAACCCUAUGAAUUGCGAAUGAAGUUGAGGAAAUGAGAAGGAUUGAAGGUGAUGAAGAUUAAGGUUAUAUCUCGCAUGUAUUUAUAGGGCAAUUUUGAGUAAAGUAGACCUUAAGGUUUGCCCUGGUCACUAUUUACUGCUAACGCGUGCCCCUUUCAACAAUACCACUGUUCAAUUCUGAAAAUGACCCAUUCUGAUUUGGUAGGCAAAAAAGUCACCGUUUUUUACAUGCGUUAUCCUUUGACAAAUCUUAUCUGGAUCAAGUAAUAUGCUCUCAAACUGAUUAUGAAAGGUAAUCAUAUGCAAAUAAUAGAACUAGACCUCGCUAGUCAUUGUCUUACUGUAAUCAAAGUCUCUAAUUGUGAUUAAAGGUCAUAUAAACAGCUAAUCUGUUAUGCAUGCAUUUCUUUUCUUUUUUUUGGUCGUGUUAUGCAUGCAUUUGGGUAUCAUAUAUGUAAAGUCAGAAUAAAGAUUCUUGGCCUAUAUGGGUUGAACAUAGCAGGCCAUGCUUUGUUCUUGUUCAUAGUAUUUUUCACCAGUAUAAUAAUCCGAAAACGAAGAAUUAAACCACAAAAGGCCAGAGCUAGCGCAUAAUUCAACUCAUACAUAUUUGAAUCCCUCAACUCAUUUGACUAAUGCUCAAGCAUCCACCAAACUCAGCUUUAGCUGUAACUCAUAAUCUUGCUUAGAAGCUCUGAAGAUGUCAACAUGUUCUGCAAUCAUAUUUUACUAGUUCUUCUUAUUAUGUAUAUUAGCUGACUUUCUGAAAGUUACACAAAUGAUGACUUGGUACUUGCAUAGAAUUGUCUCUUCAAUACUCGUUCGCAUCACCAAAGCUAUAGUAAUCGGAGAAAUAAAUGCGGAACAGAAAUAGUCGUAGAGCAAUUACAACUCGAAUCGAAACAUAGCCAAUACUGAAGGUGAGCAAUUUCAUUCUUUCUUCACAUCAACACCAUCCACCGGCGGCAAUGACUGUACACACAAAGCAAACACAGAACCCAUCAUUUUUUUUAUACGAACCAAUUUCAUCAAACAUUUUUGUAAAGUCGAGUGAGGCAUUUCGUCGAACAGGUUACGUGCACUAAUUCAUAAUGAAAUUUUUUUGGAAGUAGAGGUAGUGAGAAAGAGAAGAGAGAUAGUAAGUGAGAUUACGAGAUCGGGUUUGUAGAGAUUGUGGACGACGGAGGCUCCGGCGAGAAGCGAAGCGACGACGACGACGCUGGACCAAGCCAGCGAGGGAGUGCCGGUCGGCAGUUUCCCUCCCCCGAACUUCUUAUUCAUAGGUGAAAUUUGAAAAGAGCUCAGUGACGUGCAACUAGAUAGUUUUCUUCGCCGGAACUUUGGUCGGAAAGAGUUGGUAUUCGCCGGACUGUUUUCUUUUCUGGUUAGACGAAGUGGUUAUUACAGUAUUACUUAUUGGGGAAGGCGACUUCAACGACGUCCUUUCGGGUCGAAUGUUGUUAAUGGGUUUCAAAGGGGAUCCGCCCGCCAGGGCAAAGUUAUCUUUGUUCUUGGGCUUGAUCUAAAAAUUAGUUUCAAGAAUCCUAUUAUGAUGCGAAAAUUUUACGACUUGAAAUGCAAGAAACAUAAGCGUUUAAGCUAACAAUGUAUUGCCUCGUAGUUUAAUAUAUUUGAUGUGAUUUAUAUGCUAAUUUUGUUGUAUACGGGACUCUUACUAUGAUUUGAAACACGUUUAGUAUCCAUAUUCGUGAUUAUUUGUUUAGAUGAAAUUGUUUUGGCCACGAUCCUCAGCGGGGAUACAGAGAUAACUUAGUAGUACCAAAAGUAAACAACGGGCGCAGGGUGUGCCACCGCGCGGACGCGGAAUGAGAACAGCGUGUGCUUGGCUUCUAAUCAAGCGAAAAUAGGGCUCCGGUGCCACCUCGCAGACGAGAGAUUACGAGUAAGCCUUUAUUCACCUGUGAAUCGAUACUCACUGUUAGAGCGAGCAGAGCAACUAAUCAAGAAGAAAAUGCGAGUCUGAACGGGCUCUGUAAACCAGAGCUAGAGAUGCUUUAGCACUUAGGGUUUUGAGGAGGCUCGAAGAUUUGUUUGUAGUUUAUAUGAUUUGAUUGUGUGUGUUGAAUAACCCUCGAGCCCCCUUUAUAUAGUGACUCGCGACUAGCUGAUAGAGAUGCAAUCACAAACCAAUUUAGACUCAACAAUUAGAAUGCCACAAGAACACGCCUUACUCGCGAAUUGCCUUAUCCAGACGACACGUGUCCAGUCGCACAACAGACUCCGCCUAGAUCACAAGCACUGCCUUCACGCUAUCCAACUGUAGUCCCCCAUGCGAACUCAAAUAAUGAGCAACCUUAUCUCGCGAGGUGCCACAAUCCUUGUCAAAAUCUAUCUCGCGCGCCUCCGAAGCUCGCGACUCUUAACGGCCUUUAUAUUAAAAAAAUAUCCCAGGUAUUGGCUCAAAUACUAUCCAAAAACUAUUACGUGGUCUUGGACCAAAAUAUCCACUCGGCUCAAACAGAAAUUUCUAAAUCAAAUGGUAUCUAAGAUGAGAAAGCUGCAAUAUAAAUGUACGGCAUUAUAAUCAUAUACAAAUCCAAGUUACAUAUAUCCAGAUGAUCUCCAAAUUGGAUGAAACUUUACAGGAAUGAUCUACACACUAUAUUCUAGACACAGAACAGUGGAGAUAUGAAAAUGUGACUUAAAAAUGAGCGAAAUGAGAAACACCACACUUUAAUUUUAAAAUUGUGUCCCUCUCGGGAAGAAAACUGUAUAGAUCAAUAAAUCAUCAUACUUAAAACACGACAUCACCUUCAUAUAUAUUCGAACAUUUGCCAAGUUUGAUUAAUCCGAUCCCUUGUAUAGAGGUGUACGUACGUGCUUAAAGCUAGCUGGGUAUAGUCAUGACAGGUCACAAGUACAUACUGUGGUGAGUCACUUUCCCGAGUUUGCUCAACCAUGGAAUGAGCAGCAGCAUGGGUUUCUCAGUCUCACACACAUGGGAUAUCUGCAUUUUACAGGUACUCUCUACUCACAUUUAUGAAGGAUCGAUAGAAUUCGAGAUGACAAUACUUUAAUAUCCAAGAAAGUGACAAGACUUGUACCUUGCCGAGAACAUGAUUAUAAACAACUAAUGAGAACAUGAUGAUGAACUUAAAGCAUUACAGAAUCGUGUGGGAAAGAGUUGGAAUUGUCGGCCGGAUUGUUUUCUCUGGUCUCCGGCAAAGACGAAGUGUUAUUGGGGAAGUUGAUUUGUGUUCUUAAUGGGUUUCAUAUUUGGAAUCAAGCCCGCCUAGGGAAAUCUAUCUUCCUUUGUUAUGGUGCUUGAUCAGGAUUUCUUUACAGUGCAUCUGGUUAUGAUUUGAAAGCACAUAGAGCAUCAUUACUGGUAAUUAUUUCUUCAGAUUGCUAAAGGAAGGAUGCAUACUCAAAACGCCUGCUAAAAAGAAAGAACCGAAGUGCGGCAUUACAAUCCUACACAAAUCCAAGCUACAUAGAUCACCCAACCUUAAAACACAGCAAGUAGACACAAACAUCAUUUAUUCUAAACACGUAGGUACGCUACAAUUAUAUGCAUCCUUCUUGCAUUGCUAAUUACUCAUUAACAGUGUUUGGUGCAGAAGCAUCUGCGGCGAAGACCGCGGCAGUCGCCUCCACUGAAGCCCUCAGUUUUGCAAACAGAUGCACAGUUGGUCUCACUCAAGCAAGUUCCCUUGAACUUGUGGCUCAGACUCUCACAAGUUCUUGCUUCUGCGACCAUUGUAUUUGGCCCCAUUCCUACAUACAGUUUAAACACACACAUUAGUAUUCAUACAUAAAGUUCAUUUACAUCUAGAGAUCAAAACAGUCAGUAAAUAUCAGAAGAAUGUAGAUAUUGAUUAUACCAGUAGCCACCAGAAGCAGAAGAGCGACGAAGACAGCCGAAAACAUACGCAUGAAACUCUCCAUUAUCUUCUUGUUCUUAAUAGCUCUUAACUGUGUAUAGGUGUGUUGAGGAUGAGAUGAGAUUACAAUGCAAGCUUACUAGCCUUUAUAUAGAAGCUGUCCACUAAUUAAGCUAGCUGAGUCAUCCGAAAGAUCGAGAAAGCCAUAAUGGUAAAAAGGAGGGAGGAGCUGGGGACGAGUCAUGAAUGGCGAGUAGGGUAUGGUCUGCACUAACAUCACUGCUUUUUCUGCUUUUUUUGAUUCUAGCGAACCACACGUUUGUGAAUUGUGUCAAUUCAAGCUCCAUUGAGUUGGCAAACCUGCAAUGAAUUACUGAAUACUGACUCAUUCUGCAAAGUUAGCUCAAUCAUGCAUGAAUGGGUAACAUGGUCUUCUCAAACUAGCUAGGGAUAUCACCGUCAACCAAUGUUGUACAUAUGUGAAGGAUAGAAUUCCAGAUAACAAUAGUUUAUGGUAAAGAAAGUCAUGAACUCAUGAUACACGUAGCUAAUGAUAAUGAAAUAUGUUUAGAAACCUAAAGGUGUACUCAACUACAUAAUAAGAACAGGGUAGAGGCUGCUUAUAGCAUUACAGAAUCAUAGGUGGUGCAGAAAAUGGAAAAGGAAUUUAGCCCAACAAUGGAAAUCUACCUUUUAGAAAAGAAAGAUAACACAGAUAUUGAAAGUGAGGAUCAUGAAUUUGACUUGUGUCUACCGACAUUGAAGAUUUUAACCUUACACGUACAGUAGCCAUAGUCACCCUAUUUCUUUCUGAAAGCAAAGCAUCUUAGCCAAAUACAACUUUCCUAUUUUUCUCUUUUCUUUGUUACAAAAUUUCUACCAUUCUAAUGGAUAUAAUAUACUGUUUAUUAUCAGCAAAGAACUGAUGGAAAACUGAGAAGUAAGAACCAACCCAAAAUUAAUCUUGACAACAAGACUACAAGAGAAGAAAUAGAACAAUUAAAUUUCUGAUAUAUAAUAGCUAGUAUGCUUCUACAUCAGAGAAAACCAAACAUAUGAAGAGAAAUAUAAUUUUCUUGAUUGAAGUAGAUGAUUGAUGACAAAGGAGAAUACAUGUUUAAACUACUACAGUACUACAAUCAGAGAUGCUAGCUAGCUAGACUAGGAUUUUGUCUUCAUCUAUUUGCUCUAGGUUUGUCUUGGCUUGUAGCAUAAGGAUGGACCUUGUGAGCAGAGCACGGUGGCAUUUGCAUGCAUACUAUUGUGUUUCAGAUAUGGACUGCUAUUUUUUUUUUUUUUUCCGAUUAAUGGUAUGCUGCUGGUGUAUUGCAAUCCUAUAUGCUUAUCAGUAAUAUAUAUAGUCGAAAAAGAUUCUAUAUAAAACAUGCAUACAAGGUAAACUAAAGGCUUAUUUGGUACAUUUUUCCCUAUCAGCUUGGGUUCCCCCAAACUUCUUCCUUAGAGAUUCUACUUCUUCAUCUUUCAACGUCGUAAAUAAUGUUUUGGGUUCCCCAAUCUUGUGACCAUCAGCUACAAUCUCCCAAGGCCGUUUUGAUUUAUUGACAUCACAAAGGGAUUUGAUUGACUCAUGAGGCAAGUUCAGCUGCUCAAGUACCCUAGCAGAAAUGGAAGGCAUGUACGGUUCCAAUAAGAAAUCAAGAAGAUGCACUAACCCUACUGAAGUUUUGAUGACAAUAGAGCACCGAGGCCGGUCCUCCUUGUAGAGCUUCCAGAACUGGGAUCCUUGGAGAUAUGCAUUCCCCUCGCUAGAAAUACUCAUUGCUAAUUUAAGCCCUUGCUUUAGUUUGAGCUUCUCCAUUGCUUCCAUGUAUUGCUCUACAUGUCUGCCGACUUUUUCUGCUAACUCAACUGUCAAAGCAUCAGAGUCUGCACCUGCAGCCUCAGGAAUUAUGCCACCAUAUCCUCCUGAAGGUUUAGCAAUGAAACUCAAAACUCUGUUGAUGAAGUCGCCUAAAUUACCAACCAACUCACUUUUGAGUUUUGUUUGUAAAUCGGACCAAGCAAACUCAGUGUCGGAUCCCUCAGGCCUAUUAGUCAGCAAGUAAUAGAGCCACACUUCAACUGGAAUGCCUGUGAGUUUUGCAUCGUUUCCGAAAACUCCAAUGCCUCUACUCUUAGAAAACUUGCCUUUUUCAUAGUUUAAGUACUCAGUUACACUGAUAUUGUUCAUGAGUGUCCAAUUUUCUCCGGUUCCAAGAAGCGCUGAGGGGAACAUGAUUGUGUGAAAUGGCACAUUGUCCUUCCCCAUGAACUGACACAAUUCGACAUUCUCGGGAUUCUUCCACCACUUCUCAUACUGAUCAGGAGUGUAGCACUUAGUAAUGGAGAUGUAUCCAAUAGGUGCAUCGAACCACACGUAAAAUACCUUGUCUCUGAAGCCAUCGUGUGGAACUGGAACACCCCACUUGAGAUCCCUUGUAAUGCAACGUUGUUUAAGCCCCUCGUUGAGCCAUGCUUUUGUGAUAUGAACCGCAUUCUGGCUCCAACACCCUUUCUCUGAUGCUACAUUGAUGUACUCUUUCAACCUAUCCUUGAGCAAAGGGAGGUCCAGAAACAAGUGACUUGUUUCGCAAAUCCGCGGAGCUUCCUUGCAAACCUUGCAUUUAGGAUCUUCUAAUUCGAUCGGAUUCAAGAGCUAUCCACACUUGUCACACUGGUCUCCUGGGGCAGAAUCAUAGUGACAUCUAGGACAUGUCCCCUCCACGAACCGGUCCGCUAAGAACCUGUUACACUUGUCACAAUGGAGCUGCUGGAUUGAGUUUUCGGCAAGGCAGUCAUUGUGCAACAGUUUCUUGAAAAUGUCUUGGCAGACCUCAGUUUGCUGUGGCGUGGAAGUUCGUCCGAAAUGGUCAAAGCUUAUGUUAAACCACUCAUACACCUCCCUAUGGAUUUUGUGGUACUUGUCACAUAUCUGUUGGGGGCUGCACUUCUCUUCCAAGGCUUUGGUCUCCGUAGCCGUGCCGUACUCGUCGGUACCGGAGAUAUAGAGGGUAUUGUAUCCCCGGAGACGGCAGUACCGAGCAAAGACAUCGGCGCGCUCAAGAUGCAGCCGAUGAUGUUGCCGAGGUGGGGGACGUUGUUAACAUAUGGCAAGGCACUGGUGAUGAGGACGUUUCGCUCUCCUGGUAUUGGGAGCUUGGGGACUUUCUGGUCCUGCUUGGUUAGAUUUUCCAUUGUCAACUUUUAUAGCCAUUAAGUUGACCAAUUUACCCUUAAUUUCUCUUUUUUUUUUAGUUUUUUUAUAUUUGUUUUCAUAUUCCAAAAAUAUUAGAAGAGGUUUUAGAAUUUGAUAAUUCGGGUUGAUCUUUGUAAACUUGAAGAAGAUUGAAGAGAAACAUCCAGAAGUUUAAUCUUUGUUGUUUAUGCUGACACUCAAUCUUUGUUGAUCUUUAUAAACUUGAAGAGAAACAUACAAAAGUUCAAUAUUUGUUGUUUAUGCUGACACUCAAGGAUCUUGUUGUUGCCGUUGACAAUGAAGGAUAAUUGAGAUGAAAAAUUGAUUAUUAACAAGGAGAAAGUGACGAUGAAUUUUUUUUCUACGUUCCUAAAAAUAUAAAAAAACCAAAAAAGAAAAUUGGAAUAUGAAAACAAAGAAAAGAAUUUAAGGGUAUAUUGGUCAUCUUUUUUUGGUUUGAGGGUAAAUUAGUCAUCUUAAUAGCUAUAUAUACUAAUCUUAGGUCGGGAUGGAAACAUGAAAUACCAAUCUAAUAUUUUUAAAACUUGGUAUACCAAAGUUUAUAAGGAGCAAAAGUUUGUAUAUCAUUCAGACGAAUUUCUCUUACAGAAAUGAUCUAUACACUAUAUUCUAGAUACAGAACGGUGGAGAUGUGAAAAUGUUAUCUAAAAGUGAGCGAAAUGAGAAGCACUACAUUUUAAUUUGAAAGUGGUAUCUCUCUCUGGAAGAAAACUGUAUAGAUCAAUAAAUCAUCAUACUAAAAACACAACAUCACCUUCAUAUUCGAAUAUUUGCCAAGUUUGGUUAAUCCGAUCCCUCGUAUAUAGGUGUAUGUACGUGCUUAAAGCUAGCUGGGUAUAGUCAUAACAGGUCACAAGUACAUACUGUGGUGAGUCACUUUCCCGAGUUUGCUCAAUCAUGGAAUGAGCAGCAGCAUGGGCUCCUCAGUCUCACACACAUGGGAUAUCUACAUUUUACAGGUACCUCUCUACUCACAUUUAUGAAGGAUCCAUAGAAUUCGAGAUGACAAUACUUUAAUAUCCAAGAAAGUGACAAGACUUGUACCUAGCCGAGAACAUGGUUAUAAACCUAAAUGUACUCAAACACCUAAUGAGAACAUGAUUAUGAACUUAAAGCAUUACAGAAUCGUAUGGGAAAGAGUUGGAAUUGUCGGCCGGAUUGUUUUCUCUGGUCUCCGGCAAAGACGAAGUGUUAUUGGGGAAGUUGAUUUGUGUUCUUAAUGGGUUUCAUAUUUGGAAUCAAGCCCGCGUAGGGAAAUCUAUCCUCCUUUGUUAUGGUGCUUGAUCAGGAUUUCUCUUACAAUUUUUUUACAGUGCAUCUGGUUAUGAUCUGAAAGCACAUAGAGCAUCAUUGCUGGUAAUUACUUCUUCAGAUUGCUAAAGGAAGGAUGCAUACUCAAAACGUCUGCUAAAAAGAAAGAACCAAAGUGCGGCAUUACAAUCCUACACAAAUCCAAGCUACAUAGAUCACCCAAACUUAAAACACAGCAAGUAGACACAAAAAUCAUUUAUUCUAAACACGUAGGUACGCUACAAUUAUAUGCAUCCUUCUUGCACUGCUAAUUACUCAUUAACAGUGUUUGGUGCAGAAGCAUCUGCGGCGAAGACCGCGGCAGUCGCCUCCGGUGAAGCCCUCAGUUUGGCAAACAGAUGCACAGUUGCUUUCUCUCAAGCAAGUUCCCUUGAACUUGUGGCUCAAAGUCUCACAAGUUCUUGCUUCUGCAACCAUUGCAUUUGGCCCCAUUCCUACAUACAUUUUAAACACACACAUUAGUAUUCAUACAUAAAGUUCAUUUACAUCUAGAGAUCAAAACAUACAGUGAGUAAAUAUCAGAAGAAUGUAGAUAUUGAUUAUACCAG